AACCGCUAAGAAAGGAAAGCUUCCACAAGGUGAUACUGUACCAUCACUCUUCAAGCAAGGUAACAUCUUAAGGUACUUGACUAUCACUUUUAUAAGCUUCUCCUUGGUUCUGGCGUUCAUAUAAAUAAAAGAGACAAACAUGUAUGAUUUACAACUCUAGAUUAACAAACCCAACUGAUUCAACAUGUUUAAUCCUUUAACCCUUGUUCUUAGUACUACCUCCAUGAUCCCACACUCCUAAUCAUAUGAGCUAAAAUGUUACACAUUCAAUCAUUGAGAGAUAUAAAGAAAAAAGACAUAUACAUAGAUAGAUUAUCUUUCCAUAAGGUUGAGCAAUCUGAUCUGACAAAUGUUAUAAGUGCUACACUCAUGAACUUUUCAUCCAUCAGCUUUGUCUUGCUCACUAUGCUUAGGGUUAGAGAAGACACAAAUACACUUUAGGUUCUGUUGGUGUUUUCCACCAACAGGACCCAUGCACUUGCUCUCUGCCUUGUCUCUAUGAGCAGGUACACUUUGAGCAAAACACGGAGGAGUUUUAUAACUAUCAGACUCUACCAAGUAAAGGACCUGGAUCUACGAGCACAAACACACUGAGCAUGAUACUGCCAACGCCGCACUUCGAACUACUGGGCAAACAAAGAGGUGCAGACGUCAAGGUCCGCACCUGAAUCAAAUGACGCACCUGAAGAAUGAACACGAUGAGAAGUCUAGUUAAGAAGACUUAAAACAUUGAACCCUCACCGAAAGGUAAGAUGAGUAGUUGUCCAUAUUAAUCCUUUCUGCAUUCCCUUUUCCCUUUAAUUAUUUACUUUCCUUAAAUAGAUUAUUAGUUAAUCAUGCUAUCUUGAAAAGAAAAUAAAAAAUGUUAAAAAAUACUAAGCCCCAUGUGAGUAUACGAGUGGCAUAAAACCCAUAAGUACCUUCACUGUGGUGGCAUAAAAAUAAAAUAAAUAUUUAUUUUCUGCUUUAUAAAAUAAAAAUAUAAAAACAGAGAGUAAUAUUUAUUGAGGAAGCUCAACAUGAUGAAGGCUAGAUAUUUAUGCUAACACUUAAUUAGUUCCACAAUCUUUGUUGUCUAUUUGAGCUCCACAGAAUUUAAGAAUAAAGAAGACUAGCAAACGGAGGACAUCCUAAGCGUUGUCAGGGUGCUGCCGACAUUCAAAUACACCUCCGUCACCUGCUAGCUACAUCAGAAGAAAUUACGUCAAAAUCCAGCUUGGGGGAGAGCACCCCCAUUUAUGCAGCUAAGUGUUUCUACUCGCGUUUAUACUUUACUCAAAUAAUAAAAAGAUGCAUAAUCAUAAAAACCCAAAUAAAGAUUUUAUGCUUAUAUAUAUAUCUUUUCUUAGUUUGCUAAAUAAAUAAAUAAAUAAAGUUUGCUAUGAACCCUCAUGAUAAGCUCUCACAUGGAAAUGAUGAAUAGUUGCUCUGCCAUGAUUAGUUCUCAAAAUCGAAAUCUCUCUCAAGUUUAGGCAUGACUGUUAUGAAUUAAAAUUUGCUCUAAACCUGAACUUGUGGGAAGAGAACUUGAUCUGAAAUCUAAGUUGUUAACGGAUAUGAUAUGGGAAGGUUGAGCUGCUGUUUAUCUGUUCCUAGAGAUGCUAGAAUUCUGGAGAAUUUUAUCUUUGAAAAAUCCUUAAAAUAUUGCAUGAUGAGUUCCUGUAUGAUGAGAGUUUAAAUUCCUACCACAGCCAUAUAUACAUGCUUGCUAGACUUUGAGCCACACAUUUAUUAUUUACUGCUUAUGAGCAUUGAGUGUGGUCAAGCUGUGUAGACCCUUAGGAGCUUGUCAUGUGGUUAAAUCAAGAUUCACUUGCACAUUCACUCAUAUAUGCUACUUCUACUCCGGAAGUACCAUCCACAUAUAUCCACUCAUUUCCAUCUCCAGAACCACCCAAAAAUAUUCUACUCCUAAUCCGGGAGAGAAUAGCCAAAAAUAUUUCUGUUUUCCCUUGUGCAAUAAAUGCUCAAGUUAUCUUGCUAGUACUACUUGCUAUAUUAUCUCAAGAGAUGAGUGCUCUGAAAAGGAAAAAAAAGAGAGAAGAAAAGAAAAAAAAUAAUAAUAAAAUAACGAGGAAAUAAAAAGGGGCAAGUGCCUGGAACCUCGAAAGAAAGAAAAAGUGAGACGAGAGGUAAAAAUGGACAAGUGUCCGACAGUAGAAUUAGGGGUACAGGAUACCCACCUGAGAGGAAAGAAAAAAAAAUGAAAGAUAGAGCAUCUCAUUCUCCUCAUAAAGUUUCAAAAAGCAAGGAAGGUAUGUAUCCCCUCAAAAGAGCAAAAGUAGAAUUAGACUUCCACCAUUGUUAUCACCAUCAUCACCAUACACCAUUCAUUCGCCACACAUGCACAUCUUGAUUUGACUUAUUGACUUGUUUCUUUGGAUCCAUGAUUUGACUAUACAAUAAAUGUCUUGUAAGUAUGUAUACUUUAUCUCCCACCUAUGAGCUCUAGAUAUCAAACCUUAUUAGAGUAGGGUGAGAGAGAAGGCAAUGUCACUACGCCUUAUACCACAAAUACCACAUAUCUUGAGAGAAGGCAUAUACCAUCACUGCCUUGGUAAGGAUCUAGAAAUACCACAAAAUAGAGAUUUAGAGAGUCAUACAAGGAAUCUCUGAUUUUUAUUUGAAAAUCUGCAAAAACUCCAGAGCUAUAGCUGAUCAAGAAUAAGAGACAUGGCACUUGGCUAGACUGUUCUAUCUUUUAACUACUCAAGACAGAAGUGACGGUUACAAGUCCCAUGGUGAAAGGUAAAGUAAGUAGGUUUUAGUUCUUGACAGUUUACUCUAACUCAGAGAUUAGAUCUUAUUUAAAAGCAUGUGUACCGUCAAAUUUUUAAGAUAUUGCAACAACUUCUGAUCCAUUGCUGAGUCUAUCCUUGCUCAGCGAUGAGCAAGACGUAAGCUUGGGGGAGUUUGUUGACGGUCCUUAAGUAUCAAAUUUAUUUAUCAAAUAAACAAAGAAAAGGAUCCAAAUAAAAUCAACAUCUAGACUUAGGGUUUUAUCUGACAGAAUUCCAUGAGUUUUGGUGUUUGUCUAUUUCUGCAGGGGGUUAUCAGGAAAUACGGAAGAAAGGCCCACACGUCGGGAUUACAUAGAGAUAUUAACGUGCUGCGCAAUUAUCUUACAUCUAGAAGACUCCAGAAGCCACGGGACCGAAGCGGAGGCGAAACGGGGCCAGAGGCAGGGCGCCCGCCCUGUUCCCCUAGGCGCCCGCCCACCUCUGGAGUCCAAUCAGGACUCUGUUUCUCGGGAGAUUUCCACCGACCUAAAGGAUCAAGAAUAACCGUUCAAUCAAUGUUGGUUUGAUCUGACGGCCUUGGUUCACUUGAAGGGACUAUAAAACCAGACCCCCUGGCCUCUGGAGGAGGCACCCCUUGAUAAUUAUUCAUUAUUCAUAGACAGAGCAAAAGCUAGGGUUUAGAGAUGAGAGCUCUCCUCUCUUCUCUAAACUAGAGUAGAUCUAGAUAGUAGCAAGAUGGAGAGCGAAGGAGGAUUAGAGGAGAGGCCAGCCUGUCGGUUCUUCCUCCGGUUGUACUUCAUCAUGAUCAAGCUCUAAUCAAGCUUGCUCAUGGGAUGACUCUGGUAAUCUACUUCUAAUUCAUUAUGCAAUUACUAAUUAUGUAUGUUCUGGUUCACAACUCUAUUGAGUAUUCUAAUCUAUAGGACGCUAUAGGUGAGAGUUGUAGUAUAGGUAUAAGCGAGGUGCUUAGAUCUAGAUUACUUGUGGAUAUCCCCUGUCUAGCUGGAUCGUGUGGUAGGCCGCGUAGGUGAUAGUUACGUUGGUUCUCUGUAGUCCACCUCUCGUUAGCAGGACGGGUAGGGUUUAUCGGCCUAUGGAUAAGCAUCCUUUGUGGUGUAAUCUUAUCACGUAGUUCAUCCCAGACAUAGACAUACCCCUUUGAAGUAGAGAAACCAUAGUUAUCCUCUCUAUUCUGCUACCAUCGCCCAUAUACUAGAAUUGCUCUAUUCUCUACUCCCAUAUUAUCACUCACUGUUAUCUUACCUUUAAUAUUGUUCUUAUUAAAUUCUACCAUCUUUCCUUUUUACACUUAUUUACUUAUCUUGGUUAAGUUAGGGCAUAGAUCAGUUCUCCCGUUUCCAUGUGGAUACGAUAAAACCUUUAACCGGGUAAAAGCUUCAACGGUAUCUGUGCGCUUGCGGAUUAUCUGUGUGCGUAUAAAUACCAUAGUACACUCUAGUGCCAUGCUGGGGAUGACAACCUAGUACUCAAGUGGUGUUAGCAAGUGUCAACACUCUAUCAUCGAGCUUCUUCAUGAGCAGGUCUAGCUUUGCAGACAACAUGUCUACCUCCUUGAGCUGAUGCAUACCUCCACCUCUCUUGCGUGUCUGGGUCCUCUCUUCAUUCUAGCUUUGAUUGGACGCCAUCUUCUCCACAAGAGAUGCGGCUUGUGGUAUAGUAAGUGAUAAAAAUGCUCCUCCAGCUACAGCAUCCAUGGUCUCUCGGGCACUGUUGCCGAGCCCAUGAUAAAACGUCUAAAUCAAUAGCCAACUCUCCAUUCCAUGAUGGGGACAUUCUAGGAUGUAGUCUUGAAAGCGAUGCCAUGCUUCUGGAACAGAUUCAUCAUUUUGUUGCUGAAAACUUGUAAUCUUCCCACGGAGAGCAUUGGUCUUGCCCAUGGGAAAGAACUUAGCCAGGAAGUUUGUUGAGCAGAGUGCCCACGUAGUAUUCUUCUCCUUUGUAGCGUAGAACCACUGCUUCGCUCUUCCUAACAGUGAGAAUGGGAAGAGGUGAAGUAGUAUAGCAUCUUUGGAAACUCCUGAUAUGGUGAAUGUGUUGCAAAUCUCCAGGAAGUGCUGUAGAUGAGCACUAGCAUCUUCGUGUGCCUUCCCACAGAACUGGCUGGAUUGGACCAUGUUGAUAAGUCCAGGCUUGAGCUCAAAGUUGCCAUCGAUCUCUGCAGCAGGUCCAGUGCGGAUGUUGUCCGUAGUGGGAGCUGAGAACUCGCGGAUUGAUUUGUUUGCCAUGGCUUCGAACUCUAAAGACAAGUUCCGGUGAUCUUCUUGAUUAGAUGAAGCUUCUUGCUGAAGUGUUGAUGAUCUCUUCUUGAGCUUGGCUCUUGUCUUCUUGAAUAAUGCUUCGGGAUUGUCAACAAAAUUUCCUGGAAGAUGUCUUCUAUUCAUACAUUCCCCAGCAUAAGAUAAAAUAGAAAAAUAUCGGGGUAAAACUGUAUGAGAGAAUAGAUAAGUUCAAUAAUAUUAGUGAUGCGAAUGAUAACUCAAAAUCUUUUAUUUCAUUCCUGAUUAUUAAUCAACCUUCCCCGGCAACGGCGCCAAAAAUGCUUGUUGGGUAUUCUUAACAUCAUUACCAAAAGUAGACUUAGUUUUCUAAUUAUAGUAACGGUGCCAAAAAUGCCAAACCUAUCCCUCAUACCACUUAAGCCAAGUUGUCAUCCCCAGCAUGACAUGAGAGACGCGGUAUUGAAAUAUGCAAUUGCUCUUCUAAAUAAAUGAAUGGGAUCUGCAAGCGCACAGAUUAAUACCGAUGUAGCAUUUUAACCGGGAAGUAUUCCAGGUAUCGUUAUUUAUAUUUUUACCCCUAGGAAGGGAUUAGUGUUGACGGUCCUCAAGUACCAAAUAUAAUCAUCAAAUAAACAAAGAAAAGGAUCCAAAUGAAAUCAACAUCUAGACUUAGGGUUUUAUCUGACAGAAUUCCACAAGUUUUGGUGUUUGUCUAUUUCUACAGGGGGUUAUCAGGAAAUACGGAAGAAAGGCCCACACGUCGGGAUUACAUAGAGAUAUCAACGUGCCGCGCAAUUAUCUUACAUCUAGAAGACUCCAGAAGCCACAGGAAGGAAGUGUUGAUAUUUGGUAACGCAAUUAGAAAAUGAUCCGCAAGCGCACGGAUAUCGGUGAGCAUUUCACCCGGGAGAUUUUCCAGAGUAUCGUAUUUAUAUUUUUACCACUGGGAGAAAGGGUGCAUCUGACUAACCAAAUCUAUUGCUAUUACCCCUUUAGGCUACAAAGAAUGUUUCUCGAUGUGAGUGAUAUAUAGAGAAGACUGCAACCGUAGUCUCGUUCUAACCUUGGUAAGGAUGAUCUACUGUUCUAUUGGGGAGGCUCACGGAAUCUAGACAACACAAAGGAUGUUCGACCCGCACCUAUAAACCUACCCGUCCUGCUAACGAGAUGUGAUCUGCAAAGGUAACUUGGAAAUGUCACAUUCCUCGCUACUACCACGGUCCAGCUAGUCAGGGGAUAUCUAUGAGUACCCUAGCCUAAACACCACGUUUAUGCUAGCAAGUGUUACUCUAAUGCUCAACCGGAAGAGGAUUAAAGUAAACUCAUAAACCAAAGAACAAUAAAACAAGAACUUACUAGUAAUUAGUAGUCGAAUUACUGAAGAAUCUUAGAAGCAAGCCUCGGGUUAGGAGACUUGAUCCCGCAGGUACAACUCGGAGUAGACACUGACAGGCCGGCCUUCCUCCGAUCUACACCUCCACUCUAUCUCUCUCAAUCUAGUAGAAACUAGAAGAUCUAUUUCUACUUUACAUUGGUUGCUAAGCCUAAAAAGAAAUAUUAUUUAGAGAAGAGGUUUUCCUUCGAGGGCACCCCUCAAUCUCUAUGAUAAUUUCUUCAUGUCUUCUCCAGGGGCCAGGGGGGUCUCCUUAUAUAGUCGUCCCCUUCUAUGCGUUUUUGGGUCGGUAGGCGAGGUGGUACUACGUUAUUCUGGAUCCAAUAGGUCGGUGGAGAUCUCCCGAGAAAAAGAGUCCUGAUUGGGCCCGGCAGGUGGGCGGGCGCCCAAGGAAACUGGGCGGGCGCCCAGGUCCUGGCCCCGUUUUGCCUCCGCUUCGGUCUCGUGGCUUUUGGAGUCUUCUUGAUGGUAGAAAAUUGCGCGAUGCGUUGAUAUCUCUAUGUAAUCCUGACAUGUGGGCCUUUCUUCCUUAUUUCCUGAUAACCCCCUGCAGAAAUAGACAAACACCAAAACUCGUGGAAUUCUGUUAGAUAAAACCCUAAGUCUAGGUGUUGGUUGCAUUUGGAUCCUUUUCUUUAUUUAUUUGAUGAUUAUAUUUGAUACUUAAGGACCGUCAACAAACUCCCCCAAGCUUACCUCUUGCUCGUCCCUGAGCAAGGAUGAACUCAAGAGUUUCUGCAGUGGUUUCAUGCCUUAAAAGUACACACGCAUUCAAGCAAGAUCUCAUCUCUGAGUUAGAAUAAACUGUUAAGACUUAAAACUUACUCAUUUUACCUUUCACCAUGGGGCUUGUAACCGUCACUUGUGUCUUGAGCAGUUAAAAGAUAGAACGGUCAAGUCAAGCGCCAUGUCUCUUAUUCUUGAUCAGCUAUAGAUCUGGGGUUUUUGCAGAUUUUCAAAUAAAACUCAGAGAUUCCUUAUAUGACUCUUUCAGAUCUCUCUUUUGUGGUAUUUCUGGAUCCUUACCAAGGCAGUAAUGAUAUAUGCCUUCUCUCAAAGUAUGUGGUAUUUUUGGUAUGAGGCAUAGUGAUAUUGCCUUCUCUCUCACCCUACUCUAAUAAGGUUUUGAUAUCUGGAGCUCAUAGGUGGGAGACAACUAAUACAUACUUACAAGACAUUUAUUGCAUAGUCAAACCAUGGAUCCAGAGAAACAAGUCAAUAAGUCAAAUCAAGAUGUGCAUGUGUGGCGAAUGAAUGGUGUAUUGUGAUGAUGGUGAUAAUAAUGGUGAAAGUCUAAUUCUACUUUUGCUCUUUUGAGGGGAUACAUACCUUUCUUGCACUUUGAAGCUUUUUGAGGAGAAUGAGAUGCUCUAUAUUUUCUCUUUUUUUUCUCAGGUGGGUAGCUUUGUACCCCUAAUUCUACUAUCGGACACUUGUCCAUUUUUACCUCUCGUCUCACUUUUUCUUUUCUUCGAGGUUCCGGGCACUUGCCCCUUUUUAUUUCCUCGUAUUUUUUUUCUUUUUCUUUUUUUCUCUAGAGCACUCAUCUCCUGAAAUAAUAUAGCAAGUGGUAGUAACCAUGAUUACUCGAGCAUUUAUUUCACAGGGAAUAACAGGGAUAGGAAAAUAUUUUUGGCUAUUCUCUCUUGGAUUAGGAGUAGAAUAAUUUCGGGUGAAUGUGGAGAUGGAAAUGAGCGGAUAUAUGUGGAUGGUACUUCCGGAGUAGAAGUAGCAUGUAUGAGUGAACGUGCAAGUGAAUCUUGAUUUUAACCACAUGACAAGCUCCUAAGGGUCUACACAGCUUGACCACACUCAAUGCUCAUAAGCAGUAAAAAGUAAAUGUGUGGCUCAAAGUCUAAUAAGCAUGUAUAUAUGGCUGUGGUAGGAUUUUAAACUCUCAUCAUACAGGAACUCAUCAUGUGAUAUUUUAAAGAUUUUUCAAAGAUAAAAUUCUCCAGAAUUCUAGCAUCUCUAGGAACAGAUAAACAGCAGCUCAACCUUCCCAUAUCAUAUCCGCUAAUGACUUAGACUUUAGAUCAAGUACUCUUCGCAAAAGUUCAGGUUUAGAGCAAAUCUUACUUCAUAACAGUCAUGCCUAAACUUGAGAGAGAUUUCAAUUUUAAGAACUAGUCAUGGCAGAGCAACUAUUCAUCAUUUCCAUGUGAGAGUUUAUCAUGAGUGUUCAUAGCAAACUUUAUUUGUUUAUUUAUUUAGCAAACUAAGCAAAGAUAUAUAUAUAUAUAUAUAUAAAAGCACAAAAUCUUUAUUUGGGUUUUCAUGAUUAUGCAUCUUUUAUUAUUUGAGUAAAGUAUAAACGCGAGUAGAAACACUUAGCUGGAUAAAUGGGGGUGCUCUCCCCCAAGCUGGAUUUUGACGUACUUUCUUCUGAUGUAGCUAGCAGGUGGUGGAGGUGUAUUUGAAUGUCGGCAGCACCCUGACAUCGAUUAGGAUGUCCUCCGUCUGCUAGUCUUCUUUGAUCCUUGAAUUCUGUGGAGCUCAAAUAGAGAACAAAGCUUUGUGGAACUGGUUAAGUGUUAGCAUAAAUAUCUAGCCUUUAUCAUGUUGAGCCUCCUCAAUAAAUGUUACUUAUUUAGCAGGAUCAUGCACUUCUUAUUUUUAUAUUUUUUUAUUGUAAGAUGAAAACUUAUUUAUUUUAUUUUUAUGCCACCACAGUGAAUGUACUUAUGGGUUUUAUGCCAUGAGCAUACUCACAUGGGGCUUACUACUUUUUUAACAUUUUUAUUUUCUUUUCAAGAUAGCAUGAACCUGAUUAACUAAAUAAUUGAAAGGGAUAGGAUAACUACCAAGUUUACCUCUUGGCAAGGCGUUCGGUAUUUUUAAGUCCUCUGAACGGGACUCUCCAUUUUCUCAAUUGUCCUGGGAUUUGCUGGAUGGCGUAGUCGGUGGUUCCGGUGGCACCUCCUCUUCAUGUAUAACUAUCUUCUCUCUUUGACUCGAUGCUACAGUCUCCUCAGGACAGUUCUGUUCAAGCUAUAUGUCUUCAGACCUUAUCACUUCUCCUUUGUAGUCUACCCAUCCGUCCUUGAUGAUUUGCCCCCUCUGGUUGCGGUUGUGUUGUCUUCUUCUUGUCCUGACCUGCUUAGAAUCUUCAACUAUAUAGUUAGAAUCAUUAAAGUAGUGGCGUACCUUCUCAGAGGGGAAGUGUAUGUGGACUUCUCCGGUUCCAAUAUAGAUGAUGGCUUUGAUAGUGUUGAGGAAUGGUCUUCCAAGGAUGCUGGGUGGAUCAUACUCGUCUUCUCCUAUGUCAAUGAAAAUGAUCUGGAGUUGAAUGUAUAUUGGUUGUAGGGGCAUGGUUCCAUGCAGGAGCUGGUAAGUGACUGCGGCCAUUAUGUUGUCGCUAGAUCUGGUGUCGUAGAGUGUCUUCUGAAAAAGUAUCUGUUGAUUGUGCACUCAAUGCUUGGAACACCAGGGUCGUCCUUCUUGAUCACGAAAGGUGACUUGAGUCGACGAUCUUGACCUCCUUGAACUGCAGUGACCAUCUUAGCUGACUCGGUCCACAUUUGCUUGUUCCUGUUCCUCCUGUUGGUCCUCUUCCUUGGUUCAUGUCGGGAUUGCUCUAAAGUUUGUGUAGUCUUGUUCUUGAAGGAAAGUCUCCUUUUCCCCCUUGAUGUAGAAACUGAUCUUGGCAGCAUUAGCGUAGAUGACAGCUCUGGUGUUUAGGAAUGGUCUCCCUAAGAUGAUAGGUGCCCUCUCCUCACUACUAGUCUCUAUCACCACGAAGUUUGUUGGAGUGUACAAGGUACCAACUCGGACACAGAUGUUCUUCCAUAUUUCCUUUGGGAAACUAAGUGUCUGAUCUCCAUUGUGUUUGUGCUCGUAGAUCCCGGUUCUUCACUUGAUGGAAUCUGGGAGUUGUAAAACUCCUUCAGGUUUUGUUCGAAGUGUACCUGCUCAUAGAGACAAGGCAGAGAUCAAGUGCAUGGGCCCUGUUGGUGGAAAACACCAACAGAACCAAAAGUGUAUUUGUUCUUCUCUAACCUUAAGCAUAGUGAGCAAGACAAAGUUGAUGGAUCAUGAGUGUAGCAUUUAAAACAUUUGUUAGAUCAGAUGGCUCAACCUAAUGGAAAGAUAAUCUAUCUAUAUUUAUGUUUUGUUUAUAUCUUCCAAAGAUUGAAUGUGCAAUACUUUAGCUUAUAUGAUUAGGAGUGUGGGGUCACGAAGGUAGUACUAAGAACAAAGAUUAAAGGACUAAACAUGUUGAAUUAAUUGAUUUGGUUAAUUUGGAGUUACAGAUCAUACAUGUUUGUCUCUUUAUUUGUGAAUGCAAGAACCAAGGAGAAGCUUACAAAAGCGAUAGUCAAGUACCUUAAGAUGUUACCUUAAUUGAAGAGUGAUGGUAUAGUAUCACCUUGUGGAACCUUUCCUUUCUUGGCGGUUGUGCAUCGUGGUUGUGGCACCCUCCAUGGAUCAUCUCUUUAUGAUGAGUGAGCUAUGUCUUCCUUGUGCAAGUCAUUAAAUUUCAUGUGUCUCCUUUAUCUCCAAUGUGAGUUUGUAUCUCAGGACUUCCCAAAUUGAUAUUGAAUGUUUUUCUGCAGGGGUUAGUCCGAAAAAAUAUACCAAUGUCUACACAAGCAGUUUUUAGUUCAAUAACCAAACUAGACUCCAUGUCUAAUUAGAUUAAGGAAGGCUAUUUAACCUAAGCACCACGCCUAAUUUAAAUGCCAAUGGAAGUAUGUCCAGUACUUCCAAACCAACACUUACUUAAGAUAAACAUAGGUAGCAUGAUGGCAUUUAUAGAGAUCUACUCAAAUGGAGAUGAAGUAGUGUGACUAGUAUUUAACAAAUCAAGCAUGUCUCAAAGGUAAAGACAACCAACAUAGCAACAUGGCAAAGGAUGUUUUUAUGUAAAGUACUCCCCCAAGCUUGAAUUUUGCAAAAUUCAAGUUUGGAUGAAUUUAAUUCAAUGUUGUAUGAUGGUUGGUUGGACAUACCUUGUGCUUGUCAUUCAUCCGAUCUUCUUGCUCCAAUCCUGGAAAGGUUAGUGGCAAGAAUACCCGAAGGAAUAUCUCAAUAUGCUCAAUACACAAGGCAGUGUUGCAAAUAAUUAAAAGUUCAUGUUACCAUCUGAUAAGUGCUUGUUUAAGGACGCUAAGCUUAUCCUUGGGAAACCAUCAAGUUAUGUUGGUGAAGUGGUUUCCCCUCCAACACCUACCUAUAUCAAGAUCAACUCAACGAGAUCUGCAAUAUUUAUUAUAGACAUAUGCAUCGACAACCGCCCUUUUAAAGUUUUUAUAAAUAGAAAAGAAGAGGGGGUUGGAGAUCCCAAAUGUGGUAAGGAUGGAGAGACCAAUUGAUUGGGGAGAUGUUUUAUAUGAGCAAGGACUUGGUAAGGUAUUUAUGAAAUAACUUCCAUGCUCACUGUUGUUUCUCUCAUUCUCAAACUCCAAGGAUGAUUCUUCAUGAAUGCUUAAAAUUCCUCUAGGAUUGUCUCUCAAGUUUGUUUUAUUUAUCCAUUCAAUGGUGAUAGCACAUGGGUUUUUAAUGCUCUUUAGCCAUUGAUGUUGCUCUUCUCGAUCCUCCUUCUUAUGCAUGGGAUGUCUAGAGAGAUUCAUAGGAUUAUCGGGAGGUUCAAGAGAAAGAGCAUAGUAGAAUUUAUUAAGCUUAAGGAUGGGUUGGAUAGCCGAAUCAUGGGAUUGAAUUGUUUGGAAAUCAGCUAUUGAAACUUCCUCUCCUUGUAUGGGAGAUGAUUCCUUCUCUAUCUCUAAGAUUUUUCUAUGAAGACUAGUACGAUAAGGAUGUCCACAAAUGAAGACAUACCUUCCUUUACUAAUAGAUAAAGAAAGAAAGACUCUACCAAUGGUUAUAUGAUUAAGACCAAUGUAAAAAUAUCGAGAAAAAUCAUGGUCUUGUUGGGCUAGGUCUAAACCAAAAUGUAUAGAAAGAUUAAUAGAUUCCCAAGGUGUAGCUAAAAGUGCAUUAUCUUCUUGAUUAAAAGAUAGGACCUCGGCUAUAGAAAAGGGUUGGUUUUGACCUAUUGCAAUCAACUCCGGACACAGAUCAUAAUUAGGGGCAGGACGUGUUGACUCCCAUGGUCUAUGGCUGGUCUCCAAAGGUGCAAAGAAUUUAAUAAUAGGUAUGGAAUUUAGGUUAUCCUUAAAGAUAAAAAUAAAAAGAUAAAAGAAUAAAAGUAUAAAAGUAUAAUACAAGAUAAUAGCAAGACUCAAAGUUAUCUCAGCAAACUGUCUUUCUCCCCGGCAACGACGCCAGACAUGCUUGUUGAUAUUUGGUAACGCAAUUAGAAAAUGAUCCGCAAGCGCACGGAUAUCGGUGAGCAUUUCACCCGGGAGAUUUUCCAGAGUAUCGUAUUUAUAUUUUUACCACUGGGAGAAAGGGUGCAUCUGACUAACCAAAUCUAUUACUAUUACCCCUUUAGGCUACAAAGAAUGUUUCUCGAUGUGAGUGAUAUAUAGAGAAGACUGCAACCGUAGUCUCGUUCUAACCUUGGUAAGGAUGAUCUACUGUUCUAUUAGGGAGGCUCACGGAAUCUAGAUAACACAAAGGAUGUUCGACCCGCACCUAUAAACCUACCCGUCCUGCUAACGAGAUGUGAUCUGCAAAGGUAACUCGGAAAUGUCACGUUCCUCGCUACUACCACGGUCCAGCUAGUCAGGGGAUAUCUAUGAGUACCCUAGCCUAAACACCACGUUUAAGCUAGCAAGUGAUUACUCUAAUGCUCAACCGGAAGAGGAUUAAAGUAAACUCAUAAACCAAAGAACAAUAAAACAAGAACUUACUAGUAAUUAGUAGUCGAAUUACAGAAGAAUCUUAGAAGCAAGCCUCGGGUUAGGAGACUUGAUCCCGCAGGUACAACUUGGAGUAGACACCGACAGGCCGGCCUUCCUCCGAUCUACACCUCCACUCUAUCUCUCUCAAUCUAGUAGAAACUAGAAGAUCUAUUUCUACUUUACAUUGGUUGCUAAGCCUAAAAAAGAAAUAUUCUUUAGAGAAUAGGUUUUCCUUCGAGGGCACCCCUCAAUCUCUAUGAUAAUUUCUUCAUGUCUUCUCCAGGGACCAGGGGGGUCUCCUUAUAUAGUCCUCCCCUUCUAUGCGUUUUUGGGUCGGUAGGCGAGGUGGUACUAUGUUAUUCUGGAUCCAAUAGGUCGGUGGAGAUCUCCCGAGAGAAAGAGUCCUGAUUGGGCUCGGCAGGUGGGCGGGCGCCCAAGGAAACUGGGCGGGCGCCCAGGUCCUGGCCCCGUUUGUCCUGGCCCCGUUUCGCCUCCGCUUCGGUCUCGUGGCUUCUAGAGUCUUCUAGAUGGUAGAAAAUUGCGCGAUGCAUUGAUAUCUCUAUGUAAUCCUGACAUGUGGGCCUUUCUUCCUUAUUUCCUGAUAACCCCCUGCAGAAAUAGACAAACACCAAAACUCGUGGAAUUCUGUCAGAUAAAACCCUAAGUCUAGGUGUUGGUUGCAUUUGGAUCCUUUUCUUUAUUUAUUUGAUGAUUAUAUUUGAUACUUAAGGACCGUCAACAGGAAGCGGAGGCCGAACGGGGCCAGAGGCAGGGCGCCCGCCCUCCUUCCCUGGGCGCCCGCCCUCCUUCCCUGGACUCUCUUUCGGGACGAUGUUCCACCGACCUAAAGGAUCAAGAAUAACCGUUCAAUCAAUGUCGGUUUGAUCCGACGGCCCAGGUUCACUUGAGGGGACUAUAUAACCAGACCCCCUGGCCCCUGGAAGAGGCACCCCUUGAUCAUUAUUCAUUAUUCAUAGACAGAGCAAAAGCUAGGGUUUAGAGAUGAGAGCUCUCCUCUCUUCUCUAAACUAGAGUAGAUCUAGAUAGUAGCGAGAUGGAGAGCGAGGGAGGAUUGGAGGAGAGGCCGGCCUAUCGGUUCUUCCUCCGGUUGUACUUCGUCAUGAUCAAGCUCUAAUCAAGCUUGCUCAUGGGAUGACUCUGGUAAUCUACUUCUAAUUCAUUAUGCAAUUACUAAUUAUGUAUGUUCUGGUUCACAACUCUUUUAAGUAUUCUAAUCUAUAGGAGGCUAUAGGUGAGAGUUGUAGUAUAGGUGUAAGCGAGGUGCUUAGAUCUAGAUUACUUGUGAAUAUCCCCUGUCUAGCUGGAUCAUGUGGUAGGCCGCGUAGGUGAUAGUUACGUUGGUCCUCUGUAGUCCACCUCUCGUUAGCAGGACGGGUAGGGUUUAUCGGCCUAAGGAUAAGCAUCCUUUGUGGUGUACUCUUAUCACAUGGUUCGUCCCAGACAUAGACAUACCCCUUUGAAGUAGAGAAACCAUAGUUAUUGUCUCUAUUCUGCUACCAUCGCCCAUAUACUAGAAUUGCUCUAUUCUCUAUUCCCAUAUUAUCACUCACUGUUAUCUUACCUUUAAUAUUGUUCUUAUUCGAUUCUACCAUCUUUCCUAUUUACACUUAUUUACUUACCUUGGUUAAGUUAGAGCAUAGAUUAGUUCCCCCGUUUCCCUGUGGAUACGACAAAACCUUUAACCGGGUAAAAGCUAUAACGGUUUUCGUGCGCUUGCGGAUUAUCUGUGUGCGUAUAAAUACCAUAGUACACUCUAGUGCCAUGUUGGGGAUGACAACCAAGUAUUCAAGUGGUGUUAGCAAGUGUAAACAAGCGUUUUUGGUGCCGUUGCCGGGGAGACGGUUGCUGAGUUGACUACAAACUAGCUUAAUCAUAUUCUAAAAAAAAUAAAUAAAAAAAUAUUUUCCUUUUAUCCUUUGCCUCAUCUCUGCUAAUCUUUCUUCUUAUCUAAUCCUUGAUCUCUGGUCUAUCAUGAAUUCAAACAUGUCUAUCUAUGAAUUUCAUAGACCUACGGGCACACAUCUCGAACCACUAAAAUCUUCAAAGCCUAUCAUAGCAUCUAGUUUUGAGAUAGACCCCGAAUACAUAGAAUUUUUUCAAAAACAACCUUUCUCAGGAGAAGGUGAAGAAAAAUCAUACACACACCUAAGAGAGUUUUAACGAGUCUGUGACCUCCUUCGCAUAGAAGGAAUGUCCGAUGAGACCCUUAAAUGGAAGCUCUUUCCGUUCUCUUUAUCGGGAAAAGCUAGACAUUGGUACAAACUCAAAAUAGGGAGUGUUCAUGGAGAUUGGAAGGAGUUAUAUAGUAGUUUUCUUUCUAAAUAUUUUCCAAUCUCCAAAGUGGCGGAACUUCGGCGUGAGAUUAUUUGUUUUAGACAACUGGAAGAAGAAUCUCUUAGGAAAUCAUGGGACCGCUUUAUUAACCUUACUCUCACUGGCCCAAAGCUUUCUAUUCCAGAAGAAGUUCUUCUAAUUCACUUUUUUGAGGGCCUUAGUGGGGAAAAUAAGCAAACCUUGAAUACAGCCUCUAGAGGAUCCUUCUAUCACCUACCUGCUAGUGAAGCUUGGAAUUUGAUUGAUUUAUUAAGUGGAAAGUCUCCUAGUUUUUAUAUCCCUGAGAAAGAGACAGAACCAGUUCCUAGACAAGAAGAAGAAGUUUCGAUAGCCAGAUCACAACCACUUCAAUUCCAAACUUUAGCUAUCGAUCCUAAACCAUCAAUACAACAAAAUUCUCCAAGGGAGGAAGAAAUUCUGACCUUAAAUCUUUCAGAUGCUGAUGGUUUAGACUUCUGGUUCUAUAAGAGACCUUCAAGCAGGGAUAAUUCAAAUCCUCACAAUAAUGGUUCUUUUAGAGAAUGUCCUGGUUCCUGUUAUGAAGAAGUCGAGGAUGACAUAUCAAGUGAAGGAGAGCUAAGCCAUAUUGAAAAUUCUAACACCUCCCCUUUCCUGAUUACAAGUUCUAAAUGGCUAGAAUGUGUAGAAUGGAUGGAUAAGGAAGAAGCCUUAAUGAAUUCUGACGUUGGUUCAAUUUCAAAUUGUGAGUUCUUGACUCCCUUUGAAGAUGAGAUUCAUCCAACUACAGAAGAGGACAUAAGUGAGACCAAUCCAAGAGAAACUCUGAACAUUUAGAUUGGAGACGAAGAUAACAUUAAUGAGCAUGGAAUUUAUUUCAUAGCCACUUUGUUUACUCCAUGCUCAUAUGCAAUAUCUUCCCAAUCUAUUGGUCUCUCCAACAUAACCACAUUUGUGAUCUCCAACCCCCUCUUCCUUUCUAUUUAUAAAAACUUUAAAAGGGCGGUUGUCGAUGCAUAUGUCUAUAAUAAAUAUUGCAGAUCUCGUUGAGUUGAUCUUGAUUUAGGUCAGCGUUGGAAGGGAAACCACUUCGCCGACAUAAAUUGAUGGUUUCCCAAGGACAAUCUUAGUGUCCUAAAAUAAGCACUGAUCAGACGUAACAUGAGCUUUUAAUUCUUUGCAACAUUACCUUGUGUAUUGAGCAUAUAAGGAUAAAUGUAAAAAUAUUCCUUCGGGUAUUCUUGUCACUAACCUUUCCAGGAUUGGAACAAGAAGAUCAGAUGAAUGACAAGCAAGUACAAGGUAUGUCCAACAAAUCAUCAUGCAACACUGAAUUAAAUUCAUCCAAACUUGAAUUCUGCAAAAUUCAAGAUUGGGGGAGUACUUUACAAACAUCCUUUGCCAUGUUGCUAUGUUGGUUGUCCCUACCUUUAAGACAUGCUCAAUUUUUUAAAUACUAAUCACACUACUUCAUCUCCACUUGAGUAGAUCUCUAUAAAUGCUGUCAUGUUACCUUUGUCUAUUUACUAGUAAGUGUUAGUUUGGAAGUACUGCACAUACUUCUAUUGGCAUUUAAAUUAAGCUUAGGUUAAACAGCCUUCCUUAAUCUGAUUAGACAUGGUGUCUAGUUCGGUUAUUGAACUAAAAACUGCUUGUGUAGACAUUGGUAUAUUUUUGUCGGACUAACCCCUACAGAAAAACUUUCAAUAUCGAUUUGGGAAGUCCUGAGAUAAACUCACAUCAGAGACGAAGAGAGUGACACAUGAAGUUUAACAAAAUGCACAAGAAGGACAUAGCUCAUCAUAGAGAGAUGAUCCAUGGAGGGUGCCACAAACACGAUGCACAACCGCUAAGAAAGGAAAGCUUCCACAAGGUGAUACUGUACCAUCACUCUUCAAGCAAGGUAACAUGUUAAGGUACUUGACUAUCACUUUUAUAAGCUUCUCCUUGGUUCUGGCGUUCAUAUAAAUAAAAGAGACAAACAUGUAUGAUUUACAACUCUAGAUUAACCAACCCAACUGAUUCAACAUGUUUAGUCCUUUAAUCCUUGUUCUUAGUACUACCUCCAUGAUCCCACACUCCUAAUCAUAUGAGCUAAAAUAUUACACAUUCAAUCAUUGAGAGAUAUAAAGAAAAAGACAUAUACAUAGAUAGAUUAUCUUUCCAUAAGGUUGAGCGAUCUGAUCUGACAAAUGUCAUAAGUGCUACACUCAUGAACUUUUCAUCCAUCAACUUUGUCUUGCUCACUAUGCUUAGGGUUAGAGAAGAAUAAAUACACUUUAGGUUCUGUUGGUGUUUUCCACCAACAAGACCCAUGCACUUGAUCUCUGCCUUGUCUCUAUGAGCAGGUACACUUCGAGCAAAACACGGAGGAGUUUUAUAACUCUCAGACUCUACCAAGUGAAGGACCUGGAUCUACGAGCACAAACACACUGAGCAGGAUACUGCCAAUGCCGCACUUCGAACUGCUGGGCAAACGAAGAACGUGGGUGACACCGUAUCAAGAGGUGCAGACGUCAAGGUCCGCACCUGAAUCAAAUGACGCACCUGAAGAAUGAACACGGUGAGAAGUCUUGUCAAGAAGACUUAAAACAUUGAACCCUCGCCGAAAGGUAAGAUCGGUAGUUAUCCAUAUUUAUCCCUUCUGAAUUCUCUUUUCCCUUUAAUUAUUUACUUUCCUUAAAUAGAUUAUUAGUUAAUCAUGCUAUCUUGAAAAGAAAAUAAAAAUGUUAAAAAAUACUAAGCCCCAUGUGAGUAUACGAGUGGCAUAAAACCCAUAAGAACCUUCACUGUGGUGGCAUAAAAAUAAAAUAAAUAUUUCUUUUCUGCUUUAUAAAAUAAAAAUAUAAAAACAGAGAGUAAUAUUUAUUGAGGAAGCUCAACAUGAUGAAGGCUAGAUAUUUAUGCUAACACUUAAUUAGUUCCACAAGCUUUGUUGUCUAUUUGAGCUCCACAGAAUUUAAGAAUCAAGAAGACUAGCAGAUGGAAGACAUUCUAAUCGCUGUCAGAAUGUUGCUGACUUUCAAAUACACCUCUGUCACCAGCUAGCUACAUCAAGAGAAAUUACGUCAAAAUUCAGCUUGGGGGAGAGCACCGUCAUUUAUCUCGCUAAGUAUUUCUACCUAUCUUUAUACUUAUAUUAUAUUAGAAUAUUAAAAUACAUAAACUAUGAAAAACCAAAUAACGAUUUUGUGCUUAUAUAUAUAUCUUUUGCUUAGUGUGUUUAAUAAAUAAAUAAAGUGGCUAUGCUAAUCUGAAUCUUAAUAAUAAAACUCUAGCAUGGAUAUGAUGAAUAGUUGCUCUGCCAUGACUAGUUCUCAAAAAUUGAAUUCUCUCUCAAGUUUAGGCAUGACUGUUAUGAAUUAAGAUUUGCUCUAAACCUGAACUUGUGGGAAGAGUACUUGAUCUAAAGUCUAAGUCGUUAACGGAUAUGAUAUGGGAAGGUUGAGUUGUUAUUUAUCUGUUCCUAGAGAUGCUAGAAAUCUGGAGAAUUUUAUCUUUGAAAAUCUUUAAAAUGUUGCAUGAUGAGUUCCCAUAUGAUGGGAGCUUAAAAUCCUACCACAGCCAUAUAUAUACAUGCUUAUUAGACUAUGAACCAUACAUUUACUUUUUACUGCUUAUGAGCAUUGAGUGUGGUCAAGCUGUGUAGACCCUUAGGAGCUUAUCAUAUGGUUAAAUCAAGAUCCACUUGCACGUUCACUCAUACAUGCUGCUACUACUCUGGAAGUACGCAUCCACAUACAUCCACUCAUUUCCAUCUCCAGAUUCACCCAAAAAUAUUCUACUCCUAAUCCAGGAGAGAAUAGCCAAAAAUAUUUCUGUUUUCCCUUGUGAAAUAAAUGCUCAAGUUAUCUUGCUACUACCACUUGCUAUAUUAUCUCAAGAGAUGAGUGCUCUGAAAAGAAAAAAAGAGAGAAAAGAGAAGAAAAAAUAAUAAAAAAAUAAUAUAAAAACGAGGAAAUAACAAAGGGCAAGUGCCCGGAACCUCGAAAGAAAGAAAAAGUGAGACGAGAGGUAAAAAUGGACAAGUGUCCGACAAUAAAAUUAGGGGUACAAGAUACCCACUUGAGAGGAAAGAAAAAGAAAAGCAUCUCAUUCUCCUCAUAAAGUUUCAAAAAGCAAGGAACGUAUGUAUCCCCUCAAAAGAGCAAAAGUAGAAUUAGACUUUCACCAUAGUUAUCACCGUCAUCACCAUACACCAUUCAUUCGCCACACAUGCACAUCUUGAUUUGGCUUAUUGAUUUGUUUCUUUGGAUCCAUGGUUUGACUAUACAAUAAAUGUCUUGUAAGUAUGUAUACUUUAUCUCCCACCUAUGAGCUCCAGAUAUUAAAGCCUUAUUAGAGUAGGGUGAGAGGGAAGGCAAUGUCACUAUGCCUUAUACCACAAAUACCACAUAUCUUGAGAGAAGGCAUAUACCAUCACUGCCUUGGUAAGGAUCCAGAAAUACCACAAAAGAGCGAUUUAGAGAGUCAUACAAGGAAUCUCUGAGUUUUAUUUGAAAAUCUGCAAAAACUCCAGAGCUAUAGCUGAUCAAGAAUAAGAGACAUGGCACUUGGCUAGACUGUUCUAUCAUUUAACUACUCAAGACAGAAGUGACGGUUACAAGUCUCAUGGUGAAAGGUAAAGUAAGUAAGUUUUAGUUCUUGACAGUUUACUCUAACUCAGAGAUGAGAUCUUAUUUAAAAGCAUGUGUACCGUCAAAUUUUUAAGAUAUUGCAACAAGUUCUGAUCCAUUGCUGAGUCUAUCCUUGCUCAGGGACGAGCAAGAGGUAAGCUUGUUGACGGUCCUUAAGUACCAAAUAUAAUUAUCAAAUAAACAAAGAAAAGGAUCCAAAUGAAUUCAACAUCUAGACUUAGGGUUUUAUCUGACAGAAUUCCACAAGUUUUGGUGUUUGUCUAUUUCUGCAGGGGGUUAUCAGGAAAUACGGAAGAAAGGCCCACACGUCGGGAUUACAUAGAGAUAUCAAUGUGCCGCGCAAUUAUCUUACAUCUACAAGACUCCAGAAGCCACGGGAAGAAAGCGGAGGCCGAACGGGGCCAGAGGCAGUGCGCCCGCCCUCCUUCCCUGGGCGCCUGCCCUCCUGCCGAGCCCAAUCAGGACUCUCGUUCGGGACGAUGUUCCACCGACCUAAAGGAUCAAGAAUAACCGUUCAAUCAAUGUUUGUUUGAUCCGACGGCCCAGGUUCACUUGAGGGGACUAUAUAACCAGACCCCCUGGCCCCUGGAAGAGGCACCCCUUGAUCAUUAUUCAUUAUUCAUCGAUAGAGCAAAAGCUAGGGUUUAGAGAUGAGAGCUCUCCUCUCUUCUCUAAACUAGAGUAGAUCUAGAUAGUAGCAAGAUGGAGAGCGAGGGGGGAUUAGAGGAGAGGCCGGCCUGUCGGUUCUUUGUCCGGUUGUACUCCGUCAUGAUCAAGCUCUAAUCAAGCUUGCUCAUGGGAUGACUCUGGUAAUCUACUUCUAAUUAAUUAUGCAAUUACUAAUUAUGUAUGUUCUGGUUCACAACUCUUUUAAGUAUUCUAAUCUAUAGGACGCUAUAGGUGAGAGUUGUAGUAUAGGUGUAAGCGAGGUGCUUAGAUCUAGAUUACUUGUGGAUAUCCCUUGUCUAGUCGGAUCGUGUGGUAGGCCGCGUAGGUGACAGUUACGUUGGUCCUCUGUAGUCCACCUCUCGUUAGCAGGACGGGUAGGGUUUAUCGGCCUAAGGAUAAGCAUCCUUUGUGGUGUACUCUUAUCACAUGGUUCGUCCCAGACAUAGACAUACCCCUUUGAAGUAGAGAAACCAUAGUUAUUCUCUCUAUUCUGCUACCAUCGCCCAUAUACUAGAAUUGCUCUAUCCUCUAUUCCCAUAUUAUCACUCACUGUUAUCUUACCUUUAAUAUUGUUCUUAUUCGAUUCUACCAUCUUUCCUAUUUACACUUAUUUACUUAUCUUGGUUAAGUUAGAGCGUAGAUUAGUUCUCCCGUUUCUCUGUGGAUACGAUAAACCUUUAACCGGGUAAAAGCUAUAACAGUAUCCGUGCGCUUGCGGAUUAUUUGGGUGCGUAUAAAUACCAUAGUACACUCUAGUGCCAUGCUGGGGAUGACAACCUAGUAUUCAAGUGGUGUUAGCAAGUGUCAACAAUUAGCAAUCAUCAAUAUUGAUUACAGAAUAGAAUAUGAGAUUGAGUAUCUAUCAUUGCAUGUAUAAUUGAGAACAUAUAUCUAACUCAUGCAUACAGGGAUAAGUGUCACAUAAAAGAUAUAUGAAAUAAUAAAUAGUGACAAAGAUAAUUGAUCUGAUCAGCCACAUAUAAAUAUGAUAAGCACCUCAAUUAGAUACUCUAGAAAGUCAUUAGCAUGGUAUUAGAACGAACUACAAGAAUAUUCCCUAAGUUAUUCUCAACUAUAUAGUCUAGCAUUACCAUAGUUAGUGCAAGCAUAGUUAGCAAUCAUUGCGAGACAAGACUACGCCCAUGCAUAGUGAUAUUAGCAAGGUAAAUGAGAAACAUAGCAAUCACUCCCCUGUAAUAAUAUUGCUCUGCCAGCCCAACACACGAGAGGGGGACUAUAUAAGAAUCAAUGAAGCUGUCACUAUCACGAACUACCCCACGAUCUGGCAUAUUGGGUACAAUCGUAGAUAAAUACGGUAUAAGCACCACGCCUACACAAUAUCUAUCAUUUACCCAUGGAUCCAAUGGAUAAACGCUAUACGAUCCUAAGCAUGUAUAUAGAUCCAAUCUAACUAAGCCAAGUACAUAACUAUGAUAAACUAAGAACAAUAUAAUCUUGAAUAUAAACAAGUAGACCAAAGUCAUAAGCAAUAUAUUGAAGUAGAACAAAGUCAUAUUCAUAAUAUUGAAGAACAAAGAUGAUUAGAAAGCAAUUAGAAGCACAAUUAGAGAAUUACCAAGAAUCCUCUUGAUAGAUCCGGAAACCAAUCGAAGAUUGACUCCUAGUUCUAAUCCUAUGUAGCUAUGCUAAUCUAGAUAUCUAAUUGAUGUGGUGGCUCUAAUCUUGAUCAGAGGCUUCUUCUCCCUUGAGAAUAAUGAAUUAGGGUUGAGAGGCUCUCUCCUCCAGGGGCCAGGGGGUCUGGUUUUAUAGUCCCUUCAAGUGAAUAUGGGCCGUUGGAUCAAACCGACUUAGAUUGAACGGUUAUCCUUGAUCCUUUAGGUCGGUGGAGAUCUCCCACGAAGCAGAGUCCUGAUUGGACUCCAAAGGUGGGCGGGCCCUAGGGGAACAGGGCGGGCGCCCUGCCUCUGGCCCCGUUUCGCCUCCGCUUCGGUCUCGUGGCUUCUGGAGUCUUCUAGAUGUAAGAUAAUUGCGCGGCUUGUUAAUAUCUCUAUGUAAUCCCGACAUGUGGGCCUUUCUUCCGUAUUUCCUGAUUACCCCCUACAGAAAUAGACAAACACCAAAACUCGUGGAAUUCUGUCAGAUAAAACCCUAAGUCUAGAUGUUGAUUUCAUUUGGAUCCUUUUCUUUAUUUAUUUGAUAAUUAAAUUUUAUACUUAAGGACCGUCAACACUGGGCUAUCCUUAUCCGUUCAAGUCCACUGGUUAUAGUCUCCCUUGGUUUCACCACAUUGGCAUAACAAAGUCUGAUCGGCAGUUGGCCAAAAGCCAGUUGACGAGCUAGUGCCGAUGGGUUAUAGAAUUCAUAAGUGGCGUUGGUGUUCUUCCCACUGCCCAAAAUAUUCACUGGGAUGGCCCUUAGAGUAAUGAUUGCCAUCAUCAAGUCAUUAUCUUUGUUGAGAGCAUCAUCAAAAUGGUGGAAGGUAAGCGGGAACCUAGUUUCUGGAUCUUCAUAAGGCAUCCAUGCCCACUGAUCUUUGGGAAGACCAUCAUAGAGAGUCUGAAAGAAUCGGCUGACCUGGUCUUCAUUGCCACCAGUGCCGGGUAGAACUAUAGCAGCCUCACCAUAGUUCAGGGGUGGGCGAGUUGCCGAUUCUUCGUCAGCCAGUUCAUGGCCUUCGGCGAUAUCUCUGGGGAAUCAUUGUGCAAAGAGGUCGAACUGGAGGCGUUUGUGCAUGUGAACAUUAAGCCACAUGUUGAUAAACCACCAAGGGCCUGCUAGGUUGCCGAUGGGUUCACCUAACAGGAGCUUCUCAGCCACUUGAUGGAGGAGGUGAUAAGCAGAACCUAGCAAGUGUCGACCAAGAGGGAAUCGGCCACCAUCGGCUAAUUUCUGUACUACCGAUAGAUAAAUAGAAGUUGGUCCUACCGAUCGGCCACAGAAGACAAAUUUAUCUAGCCACAUGUUCAGAAAGAUGGCGUGUUCUCUUUGCCCAACUGGGCCCAUUUUCUGGUACUUCUAGAUAUACCCUGACCAGCCGCCAAUGUUGUGGGUUUCUACUUUACGUUCAGCCUUGCUAUCGAACAGGUGACUAUCAUCGGCAGUUGCUAUUUCCAAACUGGUGAGCAUGAGUACAUCGGCAAGGGUAGGAGAAGCAGGGCCAUGGCCAAACAAGAAAGCAUUGAGGGUGUCUGACCAGAAAUACGAGGCCACUAUUAGUAGUGAUUCAUUUCUUUCCAUAUCGGCAAUGGAUAUCCUGAUGCACUCGUCUAGUUUACGCUCACUCCAUUGGACUUCAUUUGAGUUGCUAACUCUCAAGAACCAAUCCUUCCAUCCCUUAGUAGAACUGGGCCAGGAUCGGAAGGUAUCUUUCCACAGAUCUAAAGAGAAGUUCUCAGCUCUAAAGGGGAUCCUAUUUGUUUCCGCAUUGAUCAGAUCGGUAGGAUCUGGAUUACCCAACGAACGGAGGCAUGGAAAGUGUGGUUGCUCGGUAGGAAUAACAAUUUUCUCGGCCAAUUCCUAAAGGUUUGAAGGUUGGAAGAACAGAAAAAGGAAGAAGAAAGAAAAUACUAAGUAAAUAACUGUGUAAAAGGUGGAAAGUACGGCAAAGAAAAGAAAGAUGGUACUAGGUUGACCUCAUGGACGAUGUAGUUGACGGCCAUUUCUUCCCAAGGGAGAAAAGGAUCGAAGACUUGAAGAACCAAUGGGGAAGAUCCUCGCUGGAAGUUCUUGGGCUCUUCAACGAUGCCGCCGCUAGAAGGAUGGGUUUGGAGGAUGCAGAAUGACAAGAUGGAGGAAAAGUACCAAGGAAGGAAGUAUUUAUAGGGUAAACUGAGCAGGGGCAUUUCUGACUUAUCUCUUUGUCGUAUCCGUAAAAAUCGAGGGUGUUCAGGUGGAUAUGGUAACUGUUCCUACGGUAAUCAAGGGAUUGUGCAGGUGAUUUGACAGCAAGCGGUCAUGGUUUUGGGAGAUAUUUUACUGUGUAAGAUCUCCUGGUCUAACGGAAAAGUUGCCGAUGAGUGAAUAUUUAGGGAGAUUCGGUUUGAGAAGUUGAGGGAUUCGAGGUAUAUGCUAGAAAUCCGGACUGAGGUUGUUUGGAUUUGGUAAUAAAUUACUGUCAGAGAGAAAUUACUGUGGAAAGGGCAUCAUUAUUAGAGAGAAUUUCGGAGUAUUAAUGAUUUUAUACUCCAAAAUUGGGGGGCAUGUGUUGACACUGUUUUUGGACACGUAUCUCUAGACGCGUAUCUAUGAUUUAAUGAAAUAUACAUCGGCAUGCGAAAAGGUUAUGAUUUGUUAGUAGAGGAGCUGCCGAUGAAGUUAUGAUGCCGAUGGCAGAAUAGCAGAAUAUGACUAAGUCCAGGAAUGGUGAUUGAUCUGUGCCGAUGGCUGGCAUUAAUGGUUGCCGAUGCCGAUGGAAGGUGAUUUGCCGAUGAUAGCAGAAGAAGGCACAGAUGAUGACGGUGUGCUGAUCGCCUAUGGUGGAUAGAUUAAUGUUUUCCAUAGUUGUUAGAGUUUGUUUUACGUACGGAUUCCAUUCGAUUUGGAAUUAGAGUCCUAGUCGUGUCUGGUUGUAACCUUUUUGGGUAGGGUAUAAAUGUAGACCCCGUAGCAAUGUAAGACUAUACACAAUAAAUCAAAAACAAGUUUUUACUUCUAUUCCAACAUCUACUUUUCGACGACUUCGUCAAUUUGCAUAUUUUCCUUUUACUUACGAGUUCUUAGGAAUUCAUCGAGUCAAACUCGGCGAGUUCUCAUGUUCCGCGUGAAUACCUCUUGGCCGUGGCAUCCGGGCAUAUCGCUGUUGUCGGAACCAAAGUAUUUGAGAUAUCACCUUUGUCGAUUGUAAGGUCAAAUCAGCUGACACACCUUAACAUCAAAUUGGGUAUUAGCCCUUUGUGUUUGCAGAUCUACUUUUGCAUCAAUAGUAAGAUCUAAACUUGUCUAUAGUAAAGACAAUAGCCAAGACUUCUUUUUUAGUGGUAGCAUAGUUGAGCUAAGGUCCAGACAAGGUUUUGCUAGCAUAAGAUAUGGCAUAGUGCUUUUUAUCUUUGGUUUGGCCUAAGACGGCUCCAACCGCAAAAUCACUAGCAUCACACAUGAUCUCAAAAGGAAGCUUCCAAUCAGGUGGUUGGAUAAUUGGAGCUGAGAUGAGUGCUUUUUUAAGAAUUUGGAAAGCUGUAUGGCACUCGUCAUUAAAGAUGAAAGGUGAGUCUUUAUCAAGGAGACUAGUCAGGGGUCUAGCUAUUUGAGAAAAAUCUUUGAUGAAGCGCCUAUAGAACCCUGCAUGUCUAAGAAAACUGCGGAUGCCUUUCACAUUUGUGGGAGGUGGAAGUAGUUCAAUAACUUCAAUCUUGGCUCUAUCCACCUCUAUCCCACGUUUGGACACCUCGUGCCCUAGCACUAUUCCUUCUCAGACCAUAAAGUUGCAUUCCCCAACUUUAGGAUUAAGUGCUUUUCUUCACACCAUUGUAAGACUUUGUCCAAAUUCUCUAAACAAUCAUUGAAGGUUUUGCCAUAGACGGUAAAAUCAUCCAUGAAUACCUCCAUGAUUUUCUCAAUCAUAUCGGAGAAAAUAGACAUCAUGCACCGUUGAAAAGAAGCUAGAGCCUUACAUAGCCCGAACGACAUUUGUCAGUAUGCGUAAGUUCCAUAGGGGUAUGUGAAAGUAGUCUUACUUUGGUCAUCAGGGUGGAUCGGGAUUUGAUGAUAUCCGGAAUACCCAUCAAGGAAACAAAUGAACGAGUGAUUUGCGAGCUGUUCCAACAUUUCAUCAUUGAAGGGUAAUGGGAAGUGAUCUUUCAUUGUGGCCUUGUUGAGUUUUUAGUAGUCAAUGCACAUACACCACUCGGUGACAGUUCAUUGAGGGAUGAGUUCGUUUAAGGACCUCUUUUUUAACAACUUCUUUGGUACAACUUGUACCGGGCUAACCCACUCACUGUGAGGAAUAGGAUAAAUAAUCCCAGCGUGUAAAAGCUUAAGGACCUCUUUUUUAACAACUUCUCGCAUGGCAUGGUUAAGCCUUCGCUGUGGCUCCCUUGAAGGUGUGCAAUCAGCAUCAAUAGGGAUGCGAUAAGUGUAGAGAACAGGGCUAAUGCCUAUGAGGUCUUUGAGUGAGUAGCCGAUAGCUAGUUUGUGUCUUUCUGAGAAAGUGACAAGUUUAUGGGUUUCUUCUUGGGAAAGCUUGAUACUGAUGAUCACUCGGGUUUCUUGAUUAUUGUUGAGAAAGACAUACUUUAGGCCAGGAGGGAGAGGUUUUAGCUCAAUUGAAGGAACAUGUGGUUGCUCACUUUUGUCUAGUUCAAUGGGCUCUACCAACUCUUCCUCUUCUUGAAUAAAGUGUUCAUCAUCAAGGAUUGGUUGGGCCAUGUUUUCUAGAGAUUCCAUUAAAACCUCUUCAAUAGAUACUUGCUCGUAUUUGGGUUCAACUAUUGUGUUGAUAGAACGGGCAAGAGGAAUAUUUAGAGUGGAAUUCCCAACCUUAAAGUCCAAAUGACCUUGUAAAGGUUUUUCCUGUAAGAGUCUCAUGAUUGGUCUGCCAAUCAAGAGAGUAAUCUCCAAGGUGUGGUAUAUGUGAAAAUCUAGGCAUAUCUUGGAGUUGUUAAUUUUGAUAGGAAUAACCCUUAAUACCCCAUUGCUCUCAAGAAUAGUUCCCAAAGAGGUUUGUAAAUGCCUUUCUGAUGGGGUUAAAGAUGUGUUGGGAUAAAGGCUAUUAGCUAAUGUCUUUGAAAUAAGGUUUAUCCCAACACUUGGACUAUAGUGUAUUUUCAUAGUAGACCUUCAAUUUUGGCACUAGAGAAUGGUUGUGGGAUCGGUGAUUCGAGCUACCUCAGGAGAUAACUUAGCUUCCGUAAGCCAUUCAUAACUCAUGAUUGAUGAGAGGCUUUUAAUUUGUUCUGUGAUAACAGAGCCUUCAUGUGGAUCAGGGGGGGUAGUGUGUGCCUGAGGUCUUGGUUGGAUAGGCAAAAUUGAGGUAUUUCCAUAAUCUUCAAAUAUAUUUUUCCUCGAAUUCAAAGGUAAACUCUAAAGGAGAAUCAUCAACCUCUAGUUUUGUUUGUGUUCCCUUUUUAGGGGGGUUUUCAACAACCAAUUCAUGAGAUGAAUUAGGGGGAGUUUCUAAUUCGGUUGCUGAAAGGUCCAAAUGCCUAAAUGGCGGGGGGGGGGGGGGGUGAAUAGCAUAUUUAAAAUUCUCUACAAACUCAACUAGACAAGUUGAUUAGUAAAACAAAUGGAAAAAGCUAUUCUUGCACUAGCUCAACUAAUCUAUGCAAGGCACCUAAACUAGUCUAGCAAGAAGGCUAAACACUAAUUCACAACAGCAAAGCACAACUAAAGUUAACUAUACUCCUAUUGUAAGAAGACUAAGCUACACAAGCUAUACAACAAGUAAGAUGUGCAAGAAACUAAUGGAGUGGAGUGUGAUUGUUAUACCAACGUUGUAGAGAAGAGAUAUAUCCAAUCAAUUACUCACAAUCAUAAUCAAAGGAGAAUCCUCGGCAAGACAUGACACAAGUUUUUUUACCGAGGUUCACUUGCUUCCCGGCAAGCUAGUCGUCGUUGUGGCGAUACACCCACUUGAUGGAUUACGAGCUAAUUGACAAUCCAAAGCCAAACCCUCAGCAGGUGCCGCAUAUCCACUCACAAGAUGGGGAUCCUCCAAGCCACAAGCAAUCUACUAGAGUAGCCAAUUGCGAUCUCCCACGGGGAAGGCUCAAGAACCCCUCACAAAUCACUUGGUGAGGCUCGAUACAAUCUCCAAUCACGAGCUCAACACCAUCGCUGCUCCAAGCCAUCUAGGGCAUUGGGAAACACCCAAGGGUAACAAGAAAUCCGUAGCAAACUCAAGGAUCAAGUGCCACUAGAUGCAACUCUCAAUGCAAUGCACUUGAAUCUCACUCAAUCUCACUAAGAUUAGCAAUCAAGCAAGGAGAUGAGUGGAAGGAGUGUUCUCUAGCUCAAUGUAUGCCUCAAGUAAUCAAAUGUGCAAGAGUAAGCCUCCCAAAUCUGGCCACCUUCUAUUUAUAAGCCCCCUCAACAAAAGAGCUGUUGGCCACUUUCACUGGGCUGAAACCGGGGGCACUAGACGCUCAGCACGGUACCACCGGACGCGCCAACCCUAUGUCCAGUGCCUAGAUGAUAGCCACGUGUCGACUUUUGAACCUUCGCACGAUAAUCUCUAACGGCUACAUCUGGUACUCACCUGACCCGUGUGCUGUCACACCCUAGUUUUUAAAAGAAAACCAGAGUCAUCAUAUGGGUGCCUAGGAAGUCCACACAUACAACAAAAGAAUAGAGAUAUCAGAAACAAUGUUACAUAUAGCGGAAAACAUAUUUAUAAUAACACUUACAACUAUCAGAGUAUGCGGAAAUAGUUGGUAAACUUCUUGGGCUCCAUUCUUCUCAGGGACGGUUGACUGGGGGCUCCGUAUGCCAAGCACUUCUGAUAAGCUUCUAAAAAACUUCAUGACAUCUUUAUCCUUCUUCUGAGCAACACUUUACUACACACUGGGGUGUGGGGGAAAUAGCAAGGGUGAUUUCAUGUUGAACUCAACAAGUACAGGCGGAAAGUAUAAUGACAUGCAAUGCUUAAUCAAAGAAAAAGCUAACACUGUUUAACUGCAGGUGAGCUUUUUAGUUGGUAAACUUUUAUUACAAUUCUAUUAUUAAAACAACCUAUUACUAAACAUGAGUAAAGCAUCCCAACCAUUAAUUAGAUUAAAGUAAAUUAACAAUAUUAUUAAUCAUUAGUAUAAUUAAUAUUAUUAUUAAGAUUACCGAGGUAGCAACCUUGGAUAGUAACUCAGGGUAGCAACCCCAUUAAGGUCAUGGGAUAUCAAUACCAAUUAAGAACACAGGAUAGCAAUCCUGCUAACAUGGAAUAGCCAUUCCACCAAAGAACGAGGUAUCAACCUCAACCUAGUUCCGCCUCCAAGUUCCAUGUGACUCCAAUUUGCUCAUCAUAUGAGAGUUUGGGCCGCUCGUGACCUUGAGCAUGGCUGAUUUAUUAGUUUUACACUCUGCAGAGGUGUGCACUUUCACUCCAAGUCGUGAUUCCCAUUCGUCUGGGGUUGUGACUCCCCAAAACACUACUAAGGUGAGCAGGCAGGGUUUCACUAUGAGACCUUUCACGGGGUCCAACUGAUAGGAUGCCACUCAUAAGUUUUGGCCGGGGUGUGCGGUAGCCGUGCCCAUAGCAAUAGGACCCCGAACUGACCGACCUCUUAAUAUGAAUACCCAAGCUACUUCCUUACACCUUCCCAGAAAGUAACACCCUACCAGCAGAGGUCAUGAUAAUUAGUCAAGCCAGAGCCAUAUAGCUUGGAGCUACACUGUAUGUCCGAGGGGGCCGCUCAAUGACUAAGACCUUACGGAGAGGAGAGACGGGUACGCCCGGCAACCGGGCCAACCAACGGUACCCGGUGCCCCUUUCCUCAACAAACCGUGAUGCUCGCAAGCACCACAACAUCUCCAUCACCGAAGUGACCAUUGUUCAUCAUUUAAACAUUAAUCAUCAUUGAAGAAUUCAUUAGGCAAGAUUAUUUACUUUCAUUUAUUAUACGGAAUAGAUGAGCAGAGUAGCUAAGAAUAUAUACUAUUCACUAUACUACCCAUGUAUAAAAUCUAGGAGUACAAGGAAUAUAGUAGAAGACUAGUCAGGUCCUUAGGGUUUGCAGUAUUAAGACACAUGCAAUAAAAGUAAAUGUAUUUAAAGUUCAUAGGUACAAUAUGAUCAAAGGGUGUCUGCACUUGCCUUUAUUCCCAGUGUACAACUGCUCUCCAACUUCUGCUUCGACUGUCGGUCCUCAGCUCCUGGUCUUCAGCGCUAACGAACAUGCUUCUUCUACUCAUAGCAAACAAGCAACACAAACAGACAAACAAACAAUCACGACUAAGAACGAAUGGCAAUCAAAAGAAAAGCUUAGAAAGAGUGCACUAAAUGACCCGACUUGUUGCUACGAUCGUGACAACGCAAGAACGGGUGAGAAGGAGCUAUCGUUAAAUGAACACGAUUAUCAAGGUUGGCAACAUAACGGAGAAGAUAGACUACACAUUGGUUGUAUUUUAUUUAAUAAAAAGUAGGUGAUAGACUUUUUUCAAAGAAACAUCUCAAAGUUGUAAUUGACCAAAUUGUAAAGAAUUAUAAAGGCUGGAGUUAAAGUUUAGUCAUAAUCUAAUUACAAACAAUUCUACAUCAUAUAAGUCACUUUACUACUUAUAAUUAGAAAACGAGGAAUUUGUGACCUAAGUUAUACCAGGUAUUUAUGUAAUGAGGCUAAACUUUAGUCAUAUCUUAUUUAUAAACAUUUAAUAUUAUUUAUAUCACUUUAUCAUUUAUAGUUAGAAAACAAGGAAUUUGUGACAUAAGUUAAAUAGAGCAUUUAUGAAAAGAGGUUAGACUAAGUAAGUCAUACUUGAAAAGACAAUUCACAUUGACAUUAAUCAUAAUAAUAUUUGUUUAAGAAAAACUAAAGUUAUAAACCUAAAUUACUUAUAUAGAUUAGAAAGGAAUUUAAUUAGAUAUUAGUCAUUUUAUAUUUAUGGUGAAAAUGUAAAGUGUCAAACAUGGCAGAUGUCAUGGAUAACGCGUAGUUUACGUCGAUGGUAACCUAACACGACAAGAACGGGCUCAAUCUGAGUUAAAACGCGGAUUCUAUGGCCAAAACUAGGUCAGUGGCAAAACUGGGAAUAAACAGAACUAUUUUUCAUAUUUUAAAUAAUUAAAAACUGCAUUUUAAAAGCUUAAAGGACUAAAUAAAUAAAUACUAAUGGUGCCAAGGUCCUAACUGCUAAAAAUAGGGCCUAAAUCUAGUUAUUUCUGAUGUACUCAGGACUGCGGGUUAAUUUAAAAAACCACAGGGGCUUUUUUGCAUGAUGGCCAGGGGCGGCGUGCGUGGGGGUGGUGCUCGGUGUGGUCGGCCACGUGGUGGCUCGGGACUAGCCGGUCUACGGUGGACCGGAUGCAGGCGUGCGGGUGCACCGGUCCAUGGUGGACCGGGCCGUUGCGCGGCGGCGCUAGGGGCCUGGCCAGCCGCGGCAGCGCGCUGCGCGUGGGCGGCGACGCCAUGGCCGGUGCCGUCGAGGUGGUAGCGGCGGUGCUACGGGGCACUACGGGCCGCGAUGUGUGCACGGGCGCGUAGCGUGUGAUGCGGCAUGCUCAAUGCGCGCGAUGGUAGGGGCUAGAUGCGGCCGAGCGGCGCGGGCCACGUGGCGAUGCGUGACGAUGGCGGUGGCUCUUCUCUGGCGAGCCCUUGUGCACAGAAGGGAGGGAGAGAGAUCAAUCCGAGAGCACCUAUGCGUUCGUUACACCUUCACAAGUUCACAGAGCGUCUCACCUUGGCGGAUGAGGCAGCGGUGGGGCGAGCUCAUCGACGGCCGGCUUCGGGGAUGGAGGGGCGGGGCAUCAAGCUCGGUCUAGGGCUUCUUGGCGGUGUUUGGAGGCGACUAGGGUUCCUAGAGAGGUGUGCGGCGGCUGCAGGGUGCCCUUAUAUAGGUGGAGGCGAACCUCGGUUCACGUGUGCGCGAAAAAUAGGGCGGCGACAUUAUCCGCAUCCGAGUCGGGCGGGAGGUUAGGGGUGACCUCCCCCUGACAGGUGGGCCCCGCUAGUCGGUCGCAAAGCACGGGCGUAAGGGGGGCGUGGAGCUAGGCCGCAGGGUUGGGCUCGGCCUACUGGCCUACGGUGGUGCGGGGUGGGCCGUGGCCCAUGCGGGCGAUUGCAUCGCGAGGGGAGGUGCUCAGCCGUGGGGAGAGGUAGCCGGCCGAGAAAGAAGAGACGACUUUUUUCUUUUCUUUUUCUUUUUGUAAAACAGAAAUUCUAAACUAUUUUGCCAACCAAUUUCCAAACUAUUUUCAAACCAUAUUUCAAAAUAAAUUUGAGUCAAUACUUAGGGAUUAUUUUGGAAUUUGCUUUUUAGACUAUUUUGAAAUCUAAAUAUAUUUUAGUUUAAACACACUUCUAAAUUGUUUUCCAACUUGAAUUUGAAUUAGUUUUCAAAUAGGACUUUUGGAGUUUUGUUUUCCAAAAACCAAUAGGACCUAAACGCGACUCGCUAGAAAUUUUGAAAUUCAUUUUUUCCACAAGCCAAACAAAGCUAGGGCACAAAGCACACAAUAACAAAACAAAACACCCUUCACUUAUCUUUAUAAAAAUUUUUAAAUUCCACAUUUUUCUCUCUUUUUGAAUUCAAUAAUUAAAUGUAUCUUGGAAUAUUUUAGAGAAAUUUUAAAUCCUUAUUUAACUUAGUUCUUUCUAAUAACAAUCCAAAAUUAGAAAUUUUGGAGUGUUAUAUGCGCAGAGAGGAUCGCAAAGACGCUCGAUCACCGGACUCAUGCGCAGAGAGGGUUGCAAAACCCCCUCACACGAGACACACACCGCCGGACGCACUCAGAGCGUCCGGUGCUCUCAGUCACACACCCUCUGCUUAAGUCAGGCCACACCGGACGCAUGAGUAGGGAACACCCUACGUCCGGUGCUCAACCCUAAUAGGGCCAAACACUAACAGCACAUCAGACGCUCAGGCCAGCGUCCGGUGCCUCCGCGCACUGCGUCCGGUGCACUCCCGCGACUUUUGCAAAUUUCCCACCGGCGCAAUAGAAAAUAUACACUUAAUUUUCUCAAAAGCGCCGAAUCCCUCUCAACCCGAGGAACUCAAACCUCCUUUGCAAAUGUGCUAACACCAACAAGUGUUCACCACCAAAGUGCAUGUGUGUUAGCUUUUCACAAACAUUCUCAAUGGAGUUAGGUUAGCACUUUACUAGAUCCUAAUGCAUAUGCUCAAGAUGUGGACCUAGUAGCACUUGAUUAGAGAGAUGACCGUGAUUUCCCCUCUUGAUAGUAGGCUAUCAAUCCUAAAUUCGGUCAGUCACUUCUCUACUCAACUAACACCGGCAAAAGCAAAACCCUAUGUUUAUACCUUUGCCUUGUUCACUUUACUCUUUGUUUAUCACCAUGAUCUCCACUUCAUGCUUCAUCACUUUGUGAUUAUGUGGCCACCUUUCCAUGCCACCUUGCUCCUUCAUCACAUGUGUUGCUAUGCCUAACUCAAAUCAUUUAAACACAAGGCAUUAGCAACUUGGUGUCAUUAAUUACCAAAAUCAAACUUGGGAUUUUAGUUGCUGGUGUUUCCUCUUUUGGCUCGGGCUUAUCUCAACUUGUUCUUCAAGGAAUUCAUCAUAGACGCCAGUGUUUGUGGUGUUUUCUAGAAUUUUGUCAAGGAUUGCUUUCCCCUCACUAACAGUUUUAUGUGAAAAGGACCCUCGAGAAGAAGUAUCGAGAAAAACGACAGCUUCUUUGCUAAGGCCAUAGUGAAAGUGUUGUAACAGGACAUGUUUAGGCAUAGACAAAUCUGGGCCAGAUGCAAUUAAAUUUGAAAAUCUUGCCCAAGGUGCUCCUAAGGUUUCCUUCUAUUUUUGUUGGAAAGUGAGAAUUUUAAGACGAAGAGGGAUAAUCUGGGAAAUAGGAAAGAAAGAGAGACAAAAUUUAUCUCGAAGUUUCUUCCAAUCUCCCACUACACUCCUAACAGUAUUAGCAUACCAUUAUUUUGCCCUUUCAGAAAGAGAGAAUGGAAAUAAUUUCCAUUUUAAGAUCUCAUGAUUCAUGCUAGAAAUAUUCAGACAAGAACACAGUUGCUCAAAUUCUCGGAGGUGAAUGUAUGGAUUUUUGUCUUUUUUUCUAGAGUAGGUUUGUUCCCGAACCAUGGCUAUAAAAGCAGGGCAAAUAUGAAAGUCAUCUAUAAGUAUAGGAUGUGAUGAUGGUGGAGGCUCUAAUAAUUCACCCUUUAGAGCGAAAAAUUGGUAGAUGGUUGUGGAAUCCAUGUAGGGGUAAAGGUAAUGGUAAAAAAAGGAAAAAUGAUAAACAAACGAACUUGGUCGAAACUAGCACAGCUACCGUUCCCCGGCAACGGCGCCAGAAAGCUUGUUGGAAUCUUAAAUGCAAAUAGAGAAAUCCGCAAGCGAAUGGAUACCGAUGUAGCUUUCGCCCGGGAGUAUUCCAGAGUACCGAUUUUCCACAAGGAUCGUGAUGUGUACUAAUUAAGGUUCAAGAUCGUCCAACAGUAAAGGUGAAAGUAUUUUAGUGGGUAGAGAGGAUGUUUCUAAGGUUUCUCUAUGGAUCUAUAAAUCGAAUUAACUUUAAAUUCUACUUAUUUCAGGACAUCAGAGCACUUAGCCACAGAUAGAUGAGAAGGGGGCUAGGACAGUCUAGCUACGGUCCUACAACACCAAUCCAAACGUGGUGGAAUACGUCGGCCAUCAGGGAUGUCAGAACCUAGGGCUACCACAACUAUCCGUAGAACUGUGUGUAAUUCUAGGUAAUAUAUAGACUAAGCACCACGCAUAACCUAUUAAUUACUACUCUAGCAUUGCAAAGACUAGAGCACUUGAUGCAAGCGAGAAACUAAUAAAUGAACUUAAAGUACUGAGAUUAAGUAAAUAAAGAACUAAUAUGUGCUGAAUGAUGAACCAGAUACUGCAAAAGUAUAAUGUCAAGGAAGAUCAGACAGAUUCGGCUCCUCCUUCGCUCUCUACCUCUUCUGAUUACAACUAGAUGAACUAGAACUUGAACUAGAAAAACUAGAACUAGAUGAACUAGAGGGACACUACAAACCCUAAUUUGUGGAUAGAAUAUGAGGCACUGGGUGUAGAAUGCCUCAUGGGGGGUGCCUUGGGCAUCAUUAUAUAGGACGAGGUGGAGUAGGGGGCAAGGAAAUGCCACGUUAGCGAUCCGCGUCUUCAUCUUGUGUGCACCAUCGGAUCAAACUGACUUAAAAUCGACAGAGGGUUACUUUGCUUGGCUUCCUAGGAGGUGUAGGAGGAAGAAUCCAGAAGGCGGCGGCCAUCAGGCGAAAUAGGGCACCGACCGGCCCCACCUUCUCUCCUUUGCGGGUCUUGUUCCUUCGGGUGACUUCUAGACCCUUCCUGAGCCUGAUGACGAUAUUUUCUGUCGUGGAUAAGUUUUGUGAUAAUUAUGCACUCUAAUCCUUCUUUUAUGCUUUUAUGGAAUAAUCCUUGGGAAAUACGAAACAUGCAAAACUCAUGGAAAUUGUUAGUUAAAACCCUAGACUAGUGGGAAUUCAUGUAUCCUUUCAUGUCUAAAGUUCUAAUAAAAGUUGACGUUAUCCAUCGUCAACAGCUGAUCAUUUGUCUUGGAUGUAUUUUAAAGAACCUAAAGAAUUACCUAUUAAUGAGUCAUUAAGAGAUGACUUGCUAUUUAAAGUGACCAAGAUAGAUCCUUGGUACGCAAAUAUUGUCAACUUUAUGGUUGCAGGAUACGUACCACUAGGAGAAAAUAAGAAGAGUCUCAUUUAUAAAAGUCUUCUCCACAUAUGGGAUCCACUCUACCCUUUUUGGGUAUGCUCAGAUGGGUUUCUUAGAAGACGUGUACCAGUGGAGGAAGGCAUGUAGAUCAUUCAAAGUGUCAUGCAUCACCAUAUGGAGGUCAUUAUGGGGUAUUCGGUACUCAUGCAAAAAUUUGGUAGACUGGCUUAUUUUGGCCAACCAUGUAUGAAGACACCAAAGUUUUCAUCCCAAGAUGUGGGUCAUGUCAGAGGCACGGAAAUAUCAAUACUAGAGAUGCUAUGUCACUCACCAACAAUCUUAGAAAAGAACUCUUUGAUGUCUGGGGAAUUGAUUACAUGGGACCAUUUGUGAAAUCAAGGAAUUAUGAGUACAUUUUGGUGGCAGUUGACUAUGUAUCCAAGUGGUAGAAGCCAUGCCAUGCAAGAAGGCUGAUUCAAGACACUCAAAGAAGAUGUUUGAAGAGGUUAUAUUUCCAAGGUUUGGAACACCUAGGAUGGUUAUAAGUGAUCGAGGAACACAUUUCACUGAUAAGAAGUUUCACUCAUGCCUACAAGCUCAUGGAAUACGACAUAAUAUCGCUACUCCAUAUCAUCCUUAGACAAGUGGCCAGGCAGAAACAUCAAAUAAACAAAUCAAAAACAUUCUCUAGAAAACAGUAAAUGAGAUGGGAUCUUUAUGCAGGAUCGGUUACCAGAUGCACUAUGGGCAUACCGGACAACUUAUAAAACACCGUUGGGUAUGUCACCAUAUCAUCUGGUAUAUGGUAAGACCUACCAUUUGCCAGUUGAACGAUAACAUAAAGCUCAAUGGGUUAUCAAAAGAUGGAACAUGGAUUUAGAAGCCACUAGAGAGAAAAGAAAAAUGCAAUUAUCAUAACUAGAAGAAUGGGGAGAAAAGGCGUAUCACAAUUCGAAGAUCUACAAAGAACGAAUGAAGAGAUGGCAUGACAAAAGGAUCAAGAAGAAGGAAUUUGCACCAGGAGAUAAAGUAUUACUUUUUAAUUCUAGUUUCAAAUUAUUCGGGCUUGGAAAAUUGAGGAGCAAAUGGGAAGGACCCUUCACCGUCGUGAAUUCAUCACCACACGGAGCGGUAACUCUACAAUCAAGUGAAGGUACGUUAUUGAAGGUAAAUAGACACUAACUUAAACUUUAUUUAGAACCGUUUGAUUCACAAGUAGUUGAUGAAAUAGAAUUCAUCCAAUUGCCAGCAUAUUAAGCUCUAUUUAUUCCGAUAUGAAAUUUUAUCCAAAAACAUAUCUAACAGAAAAUAGGAAGAGUCUAAAGGCACCACAUAGAAGGGCACCCGAGGUGGGCCCCUGGUGGGGCCGAUCGGCGCCUAUGUGGGGCCGGUCGGUGCCCCCUGCCGCCUCUCAUCCCGACUCUCGUUCUCUGUCUUUCUACACCAUUCCUCCGAAUAUUUGCGCAUCAUCCAAUCGUAUUCGGAUAUUCUUUUGUACGGAUCCCGUAGAGCCUAGGAUUUGUCCUCAUCCUGUCUCCUAACCCAUAUAAAUACGUAUCUAGACCCCCUCAAUAGUAUCCCAUAACCAGCCACCUCUUCCCUCAGAGAAACUCUCUAAUCUAGAACUAUUAGCAAUGGUGGACAAUGCAAUCAUCUCCUACGGCAUGGACUUCAACAACAUCCCAAGCGAUGACUCGAAGGCCCUCGUCCUCGCACAGCCGAAGCCUCUUGCCAUUGUGUCACCGAAUCCUCUCGUUGUUGUGCCACUGAAGCAACUCGCUAUGGUGCCCUAGCGUUAUGAGCAAGCCUACUACAUACAAGAUCCAUCUGCUCUACCUCCAACUCCUGCAAGACUACUGCUUGAAGGAGGUACUAAGGGGAAGCAAAUUGUAUCCCAUGGGUACUGCGCUUCUUCCACCUAGAGACAAUGAACGGCUCUUGUUGGUCCAAACUGACAAGAAAGGGAAGCUAAUAUGUGCCAAGUACACCACUGCUCAUCGUAUUAUCCAAGGAGUGCGCGCAAACCCUAAUGAGGUAUGCUACACUAAGCAUAUCGCACCUAAGCCCAAGCCCAAGAGGAAGAGAGCAACAUCAAUAUUAGCACUGGAAAAAGUUCCCAAUCAGCCAGCUCCUACCCUGCACACCCUCAAUGAGAAGCUUGAAGGCCUCUCCGACAUUGUCAAGAGUAUGGAAGCAUCCAAAAAUUUGAGGGACAAGCUCAUAGAAGACAUGGAUACUCAGUUAGGGAUCGGUUUCAAGUUAAUCUGCAGCCUCAACCGCGAUAAAGACAAGCUUGUAGCAGAGGUUGCACCCUCCAAGAAUUAAUUCAGGGCCUCAACAAUGAAGGGCAGCCUUAGUUGCCCAGUUAUCAUUGAAUAAGGCACAAUUCUGCCAGGUUUGGCUAGUUAGUUAGGUUAGUUGAGUCAUAAAUUUUUUUAGGACAAAAUCCUAAUGAGCUAGGGCAGUCGUUAGCUCAGUCGUUAAAGUGUCUGUUAAAUUAUAUAUUAUCGCCACCAAGAAUAAAGUGUCUUAUCUUUUAUUUAUUGUACUCUCUAUAUUUCUUUUGGUAUGUGUUUGUCUCUACAUAUUGCAUAGAAAAGUAUGCACGAAAACAAGUGUGGGGGAGGCACAUUGUAGUCAUGAAAUGAAAAUUCAAUCGGAAAAAUAGCGUAAUCCAAAACAAAAUCGAACCAAGACCACGCAUGGCUAAGUGGGCCCCACAUUGCCCAAUAGUGGGGCCGGCCGAUGCCCUAGGUGGGGCUGGGUGGCGCCCUGCUCACUCGUCUUUGCUCUCACUUUGGUCACGGUCGGGUUUCAGUUAAUUGUUGACGGUCCUUAAGUCCAACGGCCCAUAUUCACUUGAGAGGACUAUAUAACCAGAACCCCUGGCCUCUGGAGGAGAACAAGUUCAUCAUAGAGUUGAGAGGAGCCCUCGAAGGAAUACCUCUCCUCUAAAUAGACUUAGGGCCUAGCAUCUAAUGUGAGAGUAGAAUUAGUUCUUCUAAGUUCUACUAUAUUGAGAGAGAUAGAGUGGAGGUGUAGAUCGGAGGAAGCCCGACCUGUCGGUGUCUACUCCGAGGUUGUACCUGCGGGAUCAAGUCUUCUAACCCGAGGCUUGCUCCUAGGAUUCUUCACUAAUUCGACCUCUCGUUAGCAGGAAGGGUAGGGUUUAUCGGCCUAAGCAUAAGCAUCCUUUGUGGUGUACUCUUAUCACAUGGUUUGUCCCAGACAUAAACAUACCCCUUUGAAGUAGAGAAACCAUAGUUAUUCUCUCUAUUCUGCUACCAUCGCCCAUAUACUAGAAUUGCUCUAUUCUCUAUUCCCAUAUUAUCACUCACUGUUAUCUUACCUUUAAUAUUGUUCUUAUUCGAUUCUACCAUCUUUCCUAUUUACACUUAUUUACUUAUCUUGGUUAAGUUAGAGCAUAGAUUAGUUCUCCCGUUUCCCUGUAGAUACGAUAAAACUUUUAACCGGGUAAAAGCUAUAACGGUAUCCGUGCACUUGCGGAUUAUCUGUGUGCAUAUAAAUACCAUAGUACACUCUAGUGCCAUGCUGGGGAUGACAACCUAGUAUUCAAGUGGUGUUAGCAAGUGUAAACAAGCAUUUUUGGCGCCGUUGCCGGGGAGACGGUUGCUGAGUUGACUACGAACUAGCUUAAUCAUUUUCUAAAAAAAAUAAAUAAAAAAAUAUUUUCCUUUUAUCCUUUGCCUCAUCUCUGCUAAUCUUUCUUCUUAUCUAAUCCUUGAUCUCUGGUCUAUCAUGAAUUCAAACAUGUCAAUCUAUGAAUUUCAUAGACCUACGGGCACACAUGAUGCGUCACGUUGUCCCUAUCUUCACGACGUAGGAUGAACAUCGAUAACUAGCUGAAGAUCAGCCGGAUAACUUGCUGCAAGCAGCGAUAACUAGUGCAACCUGGCAAAUAGAACUCGAAGCCAACCACCGUCUUUAACCGGCAACCUGAAUCGAGGAUUCGCCCAACUACACUCUCAAGGAACCAACCAACACAGCCUACAAUCAAUCAAGGAAUACCUUGAAGGGAGUAGGAGCACCAAUUGGGAGCGGAUGAAGCCGCCGCCUAUGUAAUCCCGCGAGGAAAUCACAAGAGCAAAGGGGUAGAGAUCACUCUCUGGAUUUGUUAGCACGCAGCUGAACAAAGGGGUUCUGUAUUUCAAUUAUCAAAGUCUGAGAUUACAAUGAGUCUUAGGGGGUAUUUAUACUAGCAACAGCCCUGCUAGAUAGGUAUGAAAACGAAAUAGAGUUUCUGAGGGAAGAAAAUGUGAAAGGUCCCCUCGAAAUAGAUUCCCGAAGUGGCUUCGCGUGACUGUUGGCCUCCAGAGCAGUUUCCAAUAAACUGACCAUAACUUUUUAUUGGGAAGUCCAAAUGAUGAACCGUUUCUUGCGUGUGAAACUAGACUCAAAGAGCUUUCCAGAAAUGUAUGCCAACCAGCACGAAACGUUGUAGAUUGGUACAGUUUUACCUGGCAAGUUGUACCAACAUUCUGUCACGACAGACUAUUGACCUUCUGAGCAGUCUGUACUAAUUCUAGUCUGCAGGCAAUAUGGUGUAUCCAAACUGGUCGCCACUAGAUUCAUUCGAAAGUAGACUCGUCAAGCUUUCCAACAAGUACUCAUGGACCUUCAUAGAUUUUGUGAGUAAAAAGUUAUGAAGAUUCUUUGCACUGGUCUGUUUUUGACUUCCACUGGUCCGUUUUUUGACUUCUUCUGGAACUUGCACUGGUCCGUUCUUUAUGGUCCGAUUCUUCCUUCUCUUCUUCUAUAUACCUGAGCACAAUCAAGGUACAACACUUAGGUAGUAUAUAAUUAUCAUUAAUGUUAAAAUGAAUCUCACAAAUUAGCAUGUGGACCUCUUGUUGUAGCUUCUUUGCACGACUACGUGUAAUCGGUCCAUCGAUGACUUGAGCUGGUGUCGGUGUAGGUGAAACUUGAGUGGGUGUAGCUUGACUUGGAGCUUGUGACAUCUUGCUUGGUGGCGUGGUCAUCUCAACACAUCUCCAACCACCAAAAUCUUCAAAGCCUAUCAUAGCAUCUAGUUUUGAGAUAGACCCCGAAUACAUAGAAUUUGUUCAAAAACAACCUUUCUCAGGAGAAGGUGAAGAAAACCCACACACACACCUAAGAGAGUUUUAUCGAGUCUGUGACCUCCUUCGCAUAGAAGGAAUGUCCGAUGAGACCCUUAAAUGGAAGCUCUUUCCGUUCUCUUUAACGGAAAAAGCUAGACAUUGGUACAAACUCAAAAUAGGGAGUGUUCAUGGAGAUUGGAAUGAGUUAUAUAGUAGUUUUCUUUCUAAAUAUUUUCCAAUCUCCAAAGUGGCGGAACUUCGGCGUGAGAUUAUUUCUUUUAGACAACUGGAAGAAGAAUCUCUUAGGAAAUCAUGGGACCGCUUUAUUAACCUUACUCUCACUGGCCCAAAGCUUUCUAUUCCAGAAGAAGUUCUUCUAAUUCACUUUUUUGAGGGCCUUAGUGGGAAAAUAAGCAAACCUUGAAUACAGCCUCUAGAGGAUCCUUCUAUCACCUACCUGCUAGUGAAGCUUGGAAUUUGAUUGAUUUAUUAAGUGGAAAGUCUCCUAGCUUUUAUAUCCCAGAGAAAGAGACAGAACCAGUUCCUAGACAAGAAGAAGAAGUUUCGAUAGCCAGAUCACAACCACUUCAAUUCUAAACUUUAGCUAUCGAUCCUAAACCAUCAAUACCCCAAAAUUCUCCAAGGGAGGAAGAAAUUCUGACCUUAAAUCUUUCAGAUACUGAUGGUUUAGACUUCUGGUUCCAUAAGAGACCUUCAAGCAGGGAUAAUUCAAAUCCUCACAAUAAUAGUUCUUUUAGAGAAUGUCCUGGUUCCUGUUAUGAAGAAGUCGAGGAUGACAUAUCAAGUGAAGGAGAGCUAAGCCAUAUUGGAAAUUCUAACACCUCCCCUUUCCUGAUCACAAGUUCUAAAUGGCUAGAAUGUGUAGAGUGGAUGGAUAAGGAAGAAGCCUUAAUGAAUUCUGACUUUGGUUCAAUUUCAAAUGGUGAGUUCUUGACUCCCUUUGAAGAUGAGAUUCAUCCAACCACAGAAGAGGACAUAAGUGAGACCAAUCUAAGAGAAACUCUGAACAUUUAGAUUGGAGACGAAGAUAACAUUAAUGAGCAUGGAAUUUAUUUCAUAGACACUUUGUUUACUCCAUGCUCAUAUGCAAUAUCUUCCCAAUCUAUUGGUCUCUCCAACAUCACCACAUUUGAGAUCUCCAACCCCCUCUUCCUUUCUAUUUAUAAAAACUUUAAAAGGGCGGUUGUCGAUGCAUAUGUCUAUAAUAAAUAUUGCAGAUCUCGUUGAGUUGAUCUUGAUUUAGGUCAGCGUUGGAAAGGAAACCACUUCGCUGACAUAAAUUGAUGGUUUCCCAAGGACAAUCUUAGUGUCCUAAAAUAAGCACUGAUCAGACGUAACACGAGCUUUUAAUUCUUUGCAACAUUACCUUGUGUAUUGAGCAUAUAAGGAUAAAUGUAAAAAUAUUCCUUCGGGUAUUCUUGUCACUAACCUUUCCAGGAUUGGAACAAGAAGAUCAGAUGAAUGACAAGCAAGUACAAGGUAUGUCCAACCAAUCAUCAUGCAACACUAAAUUAAAUUCAUCCAAACUUGAAUUCUGCAAAAUUCAAGCUUAGGCGAGUACUUUACAAACAUCCUUUGCCAUGUUGCUAUGUUGGUUGUCCCUACCUUUAAGACAUGCUCAAUUUGUUAAAUACUAAUCACACUACUUCAUCUCCACUUGAGUAGAUCUCUAUAAAUGUUGUCAUGUUACCUUUGUCUACUUACUAGUAAGUGUUAGUUUGGAAGUACUGCACAUACUUCUAUUGGCUUUUAAAUUAAGCAUGGUGCUUAGGUUAAACAGCCUUCUUUAAUCUGAUUAGACAUGGAGUCUAGUUCGGUUAUUGAACUAAAAACUACUUGUGUAGACAUUGGUAUAUUUUUGUCGGACUAACCCCUGCAGAAAAACUUUCAAUAUCGAUUUGGGAAGUCCUGAGAUAAACUCACAUCAGAGACGAAGAGAGUGACACAUGAAGUUUAACAAUUUGCACAAGAAGGACAUAGCUCAUUCAUCAUAGAGAGAUGAUCCAAGGAGGGUGCCACAAACACGAUGCACAACCGCUAAGAAAGGAAAGCUUCCACAAGGUGAUACUUUACCAUCACUCUUCAAGCAAGGUAACAUGUUAAGGUACUUGACUAUCACUUUUAUAAGCUUCUCCUUGGUUCUGGCGUUCAUAUAAAUAAAAGAGACAAACAUGUAUGAUUUACAACUCUAGAUUAACCAACCCAACUGAUUCAACAUGUUUAGUCCUUUAAUCCUUGUUCUUAGUACUACCUCCAUGAUCCCACACUCCUAAUCAUUUGAGCUAAAAUAUUACACAUUCAAUCAUUGAGAGAUAUAAAGAAAAAGACAUAUACAUAGAUAGAUUAUCUUUCCAUAAGGUUGAGCGAUCUGAUCUGACAAAUGUCAUAAGUGCUACACUCAUGAACUUUUCAUCCAUCAACUUUGUCUUGCUCACUAUGCUUAGGGUUAGAGAAGAAUAAAUACACUUUAGUUUCUGUUGGUGUUUUCCACCAACAAGACCCAUGCACUUGAUCUCUACCUUGUCUCUAUGAGCAGGUACACUUUGAGCAAAACACGGAGGAGUUUUAUAACUCUCAGACUCUACCAAGUGAAGGACCUGGAUCUACGAGCACAAACACACUGAGCAGGAUACUGCCAACGUCGCACUUCGAACUGCUGGGCAAACGAAGAACGUGGGUGACACCGUAUCAAGAGGUGCAGACGUCAAGGUCCGCACCUGAAUCAAAUGACGCACCUGAAGAAUGAACACGGUGAGAAGUCUUGUCAAGAAGACUUAAAACAUUGAACCCUCGCCGAAAGGUAAGAUCAGUAGUUAUCCAUAUUUAUCCCUUCUGAAUUCUCUUUUCCCUUUAAUUAUUUACUUUCCUUAAAUAGAUUAUUAGUUAAUCAUGCUAUCUUGAAAAGAAAAUAAAAAUGUUAAAAAAUACUAAGCCCCAUGUGAGUAUACGAGUGACAUAAAACCCAUAAGUACCUUCACUGUGGUGGCAUAAAAAUAAAAUAAAUAUUUCUUUUCUGCUUUAUAAAAUAAAAAUAUAAAAACAGGGAGUAAUAUUUAUCGAGGAAGCUCAACAUGAUGAAGGCUAGAUAUUUAUGCUAACACUUAAUUAGUUCCACAAGCUUUGUUGUCUAUUUGAGCUCCACAGAAUUUAAGAAUCAAGAAGGCUAGCAGAUGGAAGACAUUCUAAUCGCUGUCAGAAUGUUGCUGACUUUCAAAUACACCUCUGCCACCAGCUAGCUACAUCAAGAGAAAUUACGUCAAAAUUCAGCUUGGGGGAGAGCACCCUCAUUUAUCUCGCUAAGUAUUUCUACCUAUCUUUAUACUUAUAUUAUAUUAGAAUAUUAAAAUACAUAAACUAUGAAAAACCAAAUAACGAUUUUGUGCUUAUAUAUAUAUAUAUAUAUCUUUUGCUUAGUGUGUUUAAUAAAUAAAUAAAGUGGCUAUGCUAAUCUGAAUCUUAAUAAUAAAACUCUAGCAUGGAUAUGAUGAAUAGUUGCUCUGCCAUGACUAGUUCUCAAAAAUUGAAUUCUCUCUCAAGUUUAGGCAUGACUGUUAUGAAUUAAGAUUUGCUCUAAACCUGAACUUGUGGGAAGAGUACUUGAUCUAAAGUCUAAGUCGUUAACGGAUAUGAUAUGGGAUGGUUGAGUUGCUAUUUAUCUGUUCCUAGAGAUGCUAGAAAUCUAGAGAAUUUUAUCUUUGAAAAUCUUUAAACUGUUGCAUGAUGAGUUCCUGUAUGAUGGGAGUUUAAAAUCCUACCACAGCCAUAUAUAUACAUGCUUAUUAGACUAUGAACCAUACAUUUACUUUUUACUGCUUAUGAGCAUUGAGUGUGGUCCAGCUGUGUAGACCCUUAGGAGCUUAUCAUAUGGUUAAAUCAAGAUCCACUUGCACGUUCACUCAUACAUGCUGCUACUACUCUGGAAGUACGCAUCCACAUACAUCCACUCAUUUCCAUCUCCAGAUUCACCCAAAAAUAUUCUACUCCUAAUCUGGGAGAGAAUAGCCAAAAAUAUUUCUGUUUUCCCUUGUGAAAUAAAUGCUCAAGUUAUCUUGCUGCUACCACUUGCUAUAUUAUCUCAAGAGAUGAGUGCUCUGAAAAGAAAAAAAAAGAGAGAAAAGAGAAGAAAAAAAUUAAUAAAAAAAUAAUAAAAAAACGAGGAAAUAAAAAGGGGCAAGUGCCCGGAACCUCGAAAGAAAGAAAAAGUGAGACGAGAGGUAAAAAUGGACAAGUGUCCGACAAUAGAAUUAGGGGUACAAGAUACCCACCUGAGAGGAAAGAAAAAGAAAAGCAUCUCAUUCUCCUCAUAAAGUUUCAAAAAGCAAGGAAGGUAUGUAUCCCCUCAAAAGAGCAAAAGUAGAAUUAGACUUUCACCAUUGUUAUCACCAUCAUCACCAUACACCAUUCAUUCGCCACACAUGCACAUCUUGAUUUGGCUUAUUGAUUUGUUUCUUUGGAUCCAUGGUUUGACUAUACAAUAAAUGUCUUGUAAGUAUGUAUACUUUAUCUCCCACCUAUGAGCUCCAGAUAUUAAAGCCUUAUUAGAGUAGGGUGAGAGGGAAGGCAAUGUCACUAUGCCUUAUACCACAAAUACCACAUAUCUUGAGAGAAGGCAUAUAACAUCACUGCCUUGGUAAGGAUCCAGAAAUACCACAAAAGAGAGAUUUAGAGAGUCAUACAAGGAAUCUCUGAGUUUUAUUUGAAAAUCUGCAAAAACUCCAGAGCUAUAGCUGAUCAAGAAUAAGAGACAUGGCACUUGGCUAGACUGUUCUAUCAUUUAACUACUCAAGACAGAAGUGACGGUUACAAGUCCCAUGGUGAAAGGUAAAGUAAGUAAGUUUUAGUUCUUGACAGUUUACUCUAACUCAU
rnacentral:lncRNA from 1 species